CUUGGUGCUAUUAUUGUUGGUCAAUCUACAUCCCCUUCCUUGAGCUUCGCAAUCACCACAGUCUGGUUUAUACCAACGUAACUGAAAACGGAUACCAUAAGGAGAAAUGGGUGUUGAGAAGUUGCGAAAGUAGCUGCAAUUCAACAGGUUGAGUCCAUAAUAAUUUUCAUCAGAAGCAAAAGCUAUAAUUUAGGAGCCAGGGGUGCUUAAGCAAGCGACUCUAUAUCUUUUAUACAAAGCCUUCUCUUGGCUUAAACAUUCGAACAAGGUAUAGUUGGAUUCAGCUGGUUGGGAUCUAUAAUCUUUUAGGCCGCUGAAACCUGGUUGUUCCUCCGCGAAUGGAAAGGCAGAUAAAUUGAGAUCUAAAAGCUGCUGCCAGAGGCAACGGCCGGGAACGUAGAAGUCAAUCCGUUGAGCUUCAUAAUCUAUGUGCUUCACCAAUAGCUUCAGCGAACGUGGUAUCUUCAGCAGGGUCUGUUUGUUUUCUGAGCAGGAAAGCUGAAACCCAGGAUGAUGAUAGCCGCAGUGGGGAGACUGCUUGCCUUCUAAACGGAAGGGGAAACGGACAGGUGGAUCCUGGUGGUUGCACCGCCGCACCUUGCAGUCGUCUUGGAUUGGCACUGCUUCUGCAACAUUCACAGCUAAGAUAAAGCAGAAUAACGAGUAAAUUAACAUUGUUCUUACUAACUUGUGAGCCCCUGAAGUGAAACGGGCUUUAAAUAGUUUCAUUGACAUAGGUGGUUCAGCCCUUGAGAGUUCCAAUUAUGCACGCAACGCAGCUGCUGCUUUACUACAUAGCUUUGUCUCGUUUAACAGGGUCUUCAACUCUUCGUCCUCUCUUUGUCCUCUUUUAUGAGUAAAUGUUGGACAUGUUUGAUUGUUAGCAACCCUUUCUAACCUUGUUACUAAUUUUCUUUUAUUCCCGUUAGUUGUAGUAAAAUUUGAGGAAAAAACACUGAACAUGAGAAUGAAUACCGAUUUGCUGUUGUGAUCAUAGUGGGGUCAGCUUGACUGACUUUUGUUUUUCCACCUUCGUUUCACUACAUUUUGUUUGGUAUGACUAAGAAGUUGACUGACUUUUAUGGGUUCUUUUUAAUGUCUAUCGUUUCUUUUCUAAUGUAGGUGGUUUUUUUCUCACUUUCCUUUUUCUAAUUUAUCUUUUAUUUUUGGAUUUUAAUUAAAAAUGGCAAAACUCGAAUCAUAUGUUUUUAAAUUACUUAUUUUAGAUACAACAAAUUUUUUAAAAGUGGAUACAGGACAAAAUGAGAUGAUUUUUUUCACAUGAGUAUGAAACAAUUAUAGUCCCUAUCUCGAAAUAAUCUUUUACCUUUCUUUGUAUAUAAUUAUUAAAAUGAUAAAAAUGUAAUAAUAUAUUAUAGGAAAAAAUUCAUAUGUUUUAUAUUUAUAUUUUUAAAAAAUUAUGUUUAAAUGCUUACUUGUCUUAAAAAAAAGUAAAAUUAUUAAAAUAACUAGAAAUAAAAAUUAAAUUAAAGCAGAGCGAAACAAGGUGAGAUGGGAUGGGGAUGAAUGCUUUUAAUAUAUAUGCUGUGAUAGCGAUUUUUCAGAUUAUACAUUCCAAGUGGGGCGAGGCGGGUGGUGGAGUAAAGCAUGUCAACUGUGGAGCGAUGAUGGAUUUGACAACAUUUAACCUGUCUUGCUCCAUUGCAUGAUGCUUAAUAGGGUCUUCUUUUUUUAUUAAAUCAUCACAAUCAAUUUUGUAUUGAUACUGUUCAGAUCAACCAAAUCGAUUCAUUUAAGUAAUAAACCGAAACAAUAAAAUCUGCGGAUUAAAGCCUGUAAUCAAUGUGCACAGUAUCGCCCAAUGAGGUCAAUUGAUCAAAUGGGGCUCUUUUAACCCACUUGAAUUGGCAUGAUUAAUGGAACACAUGGAGAAGCCCAUCCACUUGAAGCAUUGGUGGCUUAGUGAAAUACUUUAGUAAAACUAGAGUUACCAUGGUGAAUAUUUGUAAUCCUAAGGGAUUAGAUUGUAUAGAGCUUAAAUCCCUUCGAACUCUCAUUUGUAGAUAGGUUUUAAUCUUGAUUGUUGAUGUAAUUUAAAUUGAGUUGUUGCAUCAGAGAGAUCUCAACUAUAAAUAAAGGUUUCCCCCUUCAUUUGCAAUCACUCAAUGUUUUUUCACUCAAAGUUACUAAAUAUAAUUGAGAGCAUUUACUCAAACAUACAUUACUUUCUUGUGGUUUCUCUAGUUCUUUCAUUGCUUCUUCACUUUUGUGUUUGCUUCCGCUAAGUUUUGGUGCCUUAGAGAAUUUCCUUGUGAUUUCUUACUUUUUGAGAUUUAGGUGGACUUAGGCGAAUUUAAAGCUAAGUUCUUGCCCAAUGUUGCACAGUUUGCCAGACUAAAGUUCUAGCCUUGUGACAGUUGGUAUCAAGAGCUAGUGAUUGGUAAGGCGUUAAUUGAGAUGGAGAAAGAAGUAAAUAAUCAAGAGCUCGUGACCGUUGGCAUCACGAACUAGUGUUUGGGUAGGAAAGCUAGUAGAUCAAGGGAUAUAUUGUUAGGUUUGGAAGGUUGAGUGACCAACUUCAAGGAAUUCAUGGGUGGCAUGAAGGAAACACUCAAAGUAGUUAAGGGACACACCACAGAGCUGGACUUAGUGAAAGAGUAACUCAAGGGAUAGGUGGCAGAGGCUCUCAGUACUAGUGUGGACGCACUGCAAGGGGUUCUCAAUACCUCUGUGGGUAAGUUGACAAAGAGAGGUGAUACUCUUAAGGACGUGGUGACAAAUUUGAAGGAACAAAUUGAAUAUUUCAAGAAGGAGCUUGUUAUCUGUAAAAUUGCUUUAGGUAAUGACGUGUUGGCUACGAUACCCAAGCCUAAGGUCGAUACCUUCAAGCCGAAAGAAUUUAAGGGGAUGAGAUCCGAAAUAGAUGUGAAUAACUUUUUAUAAGGAAUGGAAUAAAACCUUCGUGCUAGAGGCAUCAAAGAUGCUGCUACUAAGGUAAAUAUUGCAUCUAUUGUAACAGCUCGAUUUAUGGGUCUAGUCAGAGCAGUGGUUUCGGGACCACAAAUCCGAAGUUAAAAUUCUUAUUUUAUUAUUUUAAUAUCUACAGUAUGAUAUUAUUAUUGUGUAAAAAUUUCGUGAAGAAAUUUUAUCAAUUGGGUGCUUAAUUUGAUAAAAAGGACUAAAUCGCGUAAAGUGCGAAAGUUGCAUUCUAUAUGUAAAGGUGUCUAAUAGCUAUAGAAUUUUAAAUUGAAGGUCCUUAUGUGAUAAAUAACCCAUUAUUGAGAUAUUGGAUGUUAUUAGAGUGGCAUUUGGUGUAGUUAUUAGGGUUAUUAAAGGUUAAAUGAGUAAAACGACAUUAUAUGUUAAAUUAAAUAAAACAAAUUGUGUCAUCUUCUUUCACUAUCCAUCUUCACCAAAAUUUCAACCUAAAAUCAGCCAUGGGAGAGCUUGUUAUUCUGCCAAACUUUGAAGACAAAUUGGUGAGUGGUUUUUGCUUGGUUUUUAAUAAUUUCUAUAUUUUUGAUAUCGUUGCUUCGUAAUCUAGCUAACCCGUACCUCCGUUUCUAAAACUGUUAAAGAUUUUUUGAAUUUCCAUUGUUGAAUACUUGAGCUCUUUGAUAUUUUUUGAUGAAAUAUGAAUAUUUUAUGUUAGAUUUUCAUCUUUUAUAAAGUGAUUUUUGAUAAAAAUGUCAAUUAGGGAUUAAAUUGUGAAAUGUGGAAAUUUAGUGGUUAAAAUGUGAAAUAAAUUGAAAAUAUGGGCUGCUAGUGAUAUAUGGAAAAUUCAGCUAGCUUGGAUUUGUGUUUAAUUUCAUAAAAUUGUGAUUUUAUGUUAUAAGGACUAAAUUAUAAAAAUGUGAAAUUAUAGGGGUAAAAGUGUAAAUAUUCUUUAAGGUAAAUUUUGGAUUAAAUUUAAUUGAGAGAUAAUUAAAUAAGCUUAUUUUGAUUAUAUUUAGAUCGAGAAAAGUGAAAUACGGAUCUAGAUUGGGGAAAAGAUAAAGUAUCGGACCAGUCAAUUCGUUCCGUCGUUUUAGCAAUCGAGGUAAGUUCGUGUAAUCAAACUUCAGUGUAUAUUUAGGUAAUUGAUGAAUGAUAGUAUGAAUUUAUUCAUAUAAUCAAUUUAAUUAUGGAGCUUAAAUUAAACGUUCGAUAUAAGUAAAAAUGUAGGAUCAAACACAAUCGUUUCGCAACGAAAGACGAAUUGGCAGAAAAAACCAUGGUUGGACCAUGGCAUUACAUGAUUUCGUAUAAGACCAUAGCUGGGCUAUGACAUCGAUAUAUGAGACUUUGUGUAAGACCAUAUCUAGGAUAUGGCAUCGAUAUAUGUGAUUACGUGUAAGACCAUAUCUGGAACAUUGGCAUCGAUAUAUGAUUCGUGUAAGACCAUAGCUGGGCUAUUGGCACCGAUAUGUGAUAACAUGUAAGACCAUAUGUGGGAUAUGGAAUUGUAUGUGAUAUACGAGACUUUCGAGUAUCCUUAACGAUUAUGAAUGGUUCGUCACGCAAAGUUAAGACAAGAAUGAAAGUUCAAUUGAAUUAAGCAAAACAGGUACGUUCAGAACCUAUGUGAGAGUUAAAUGAAGGUAAUUUAAUGAGAAUUAUUAGUGUAUAAUUAUAUUUUAUGCCAAAAUGUGUUUAUUUGGCUAUAGUGAGGUAUGAAUUGAAUGAUAUGUGUGAUAUGAGCAAUGAUUGUGUUAAUUAUAUGAAUAUGGCACAUUGAGUGAGAAUUACAAUUAUUUAACGAUAAUUUACAUGAUUCUUUCGGCUAAAGAAAUGUGAUGAAUAAUGGAUCAAAUAAAGUUAUACAUUGUUGCUUAUGUAUUUGUAAAUGAGAAUGAAGUGAUAAGAAGUUUAAGAGGCAUACGAGCUUUGAAAGGAAUAAACUCGUGGAAAUCUUGUUUGAUCAUAUGCAUGAAUAUGAGGUAGAAUUGUGAAAUCAAAUGAGUUAUAUUAUGACUUGAUGCAAUUGCUUGUAAUGUGGUUAUUUAGUAAUAAGAGUUAUGAUAUUACAAGCUUACUAAGCUUUAUAGCUUACCUGGUGUUAUUUUUUUAUGUUUUACAGUGUUUGGGACGUUCGCUCGGGUUGGAAGUCGACAGAGAUUGCAUCACACUAUCCAGCUAAUAAUUUCGGUAUUUAUAUACUUUGUGACUUGGUUAUAUGGCAUGUAUAUGCUAUGGUUAUUUUGGUUUACUAUGGAAAGUGUAUUUGGCCAUAUGGUUUGGCUUGUUUUAAGUAUGUAUUUGAUUAUUUUGUAUAGGCUAGUUUUUAAUAUGUUUGGUUUUGAUGAUAUGUAUAUAUUCAGCCAUGCAAAAAUGGCAUGAUUAUAAUGCUAAUGGUUGUGUAAAUUUGAUCAUGGUAUAAGCACAUUUCUGUAAGUAUGUCCCUUGACAUGUAUGAAUGGUGUUCUGGUUAUAUGUCUUGGUUGAGUAAUGAUAUGAAUGACUUAUAAAUAGCUCAUUUAGUAAGCUUGAUACAUGAUUUAAUUUGUAUUUGUGAUUGGUCUUGUGAUUUGGGUUGGAAUGGUUAAGUAGGCAUAUGUGGUAUGCUUGUUUGAGUGAGUUUUUAGGUACAGCUCAUGAUGGAAAUGGUAUGAAUUUUUGGAGGCUAAUUUGAUGAUCAAAUAUAGGAUUAAAUGAUUUAGUUGUGUAUAUGAAAUUUUGGCAUGGUACAUAGUAUAUGAAAUUGGCAUGUUUAAAUUGUAACAGCCCGAUUUUGGGUCUAGUUGGAACAGUGUUUUCGGGACCACAAAUUCGACGAGGAAAAAUGUAAUGGCCUGAAUUUUUAGGGGUGUCGGAACGGUGAUUCGAGAUCACUAAAUCCAAAAAAAUGAGUAGAAAAUAUUAUUAAUUUAGUGAGUAUAAGUAAAUGUGAAGUUAAGAAAAUUUUUGAAAUAGUGAAUAGUGCACUAGAAAUAAAUAUUAAAAUAAUUAGAAUAAAAAAACGAGGUAUCGAGACCUCAGAGAUUUUAAACCGAGCCAUAAAUAUUUUUAUAAAUAUUUAUGGAGUGUUAAAAAGUUAGUAUUAAAUUUUCGUUAAGAAAUUUUAAAGUUUCGAUAAUUAAUUGAACAAAAAUGACUAAAUUGUAACAAAUGCAAAAUUAUAGGAAAUGAUUAAAUAGCUUAAAUGAUAAAAGGAAGAGGGCUUAAAAAGCAAAUAGACCCAAUGUCUGGACGUCAAAGGCAUGAAAUCAACAAGAAAGUAAGGAGAAUUAAGGGCAAAAUUGGAAUACUACAAAAUUACUUAAUAAAGCUAGGAUCAAAGUGGAAUUAUCUAGAUUUCUCUUUAUUUUUCUGCAUUCUCAUCAGCUAAAACACCAUAGAAGGGUUUCCUUAAGUUGGUUUUUCAUAUUUUUACUGCAAGUAAGUUCAAUUCUUGAUUAUUUCUUGAAAUUUUUGUGUUUUUGUGACUUUUACAACUAGGCCCACUUGUUGAAUUCAUUAGUUUUUGAUUCUAUGAAAGAAGUUGAAAGUUGCUAUGAAUAUGUGCUGGAAGUAUAUGAUGAUUUAGCAUGGAAUUAGAGCUUUAAAUUGUUUCUAUGCUGAUUUUAUUGAAAGAAUUGAAUAAAAAGUGAAUAUUUGGGACCUAAUAGUAAAAGAGUUUGAAGUUAGGGUUUUAUGAGGAAAUUCUGAAUUUCAAUAGUUAUGAAUAACUUAUAAUGUCUAAGUAAAGUACUAAUUGAGAAAAAUUAGCUUAAUUGAGGGGUUAAUUAAACAAUGACUGAAUUGUAUGAAUUGUAAAUUUUGAAAUAUAAUAAAUUUUGUGAGACAAGGUCAGAAUGAUUUCGGGUUCCCCUGUUCUGACUUUGGAAAAUCAUCAAAAAUUUAAGAAAAAUAAUUAGGGGCUUAAAUUUAUAUAUUUAAAAUCCUGAAUAAGUCUAUUUUCAAGAGAAACAAACGGAAACAUCAUCCGAAUCCCGUAAGAGGAAAUAAUUAUUUUUUAGUGAAGAAGGGUCGGAACUGUCUAAUAGUGAAACAGGGGAGAAUUUAAAGAAUAAACUGUACUUAUUGGCUAAGCCAAAAAUUCUAAAACUUUUAUGGUAAAAAUAUAUAUGAGUCUAGUUUCUGGGAAAAUUAACGGAUCUUAAUUUGGAGUUUCGUAGCUCAAGAUAUAAAUAAUUUAGUGACUCUGACUCGGAUAGACAGCUUUGAAUUUACUUAUAAGUAAAUAGUGAAAAUGUAGUUAAUGUUAUUUAAGUGUGUUAUAUACAUUAAAGAUGUGAAAUAGAGAGGAGGAGGAGGAAAAUUAGAAAAUAUAUGAAUGACUUGUGUAUAAAUCGGUCAUAUAUUCGAUCAUAAUCGAUAAAUGUUGAAUUAGAAAUGAUGUAAUGUUUUAUUUCAAAUAGUUACUAUGAGAUUGAUGAUGAUCUGACUUUAGCUAAAUUAAAAGCUAAAGCGAUAUUUUCAUUGCAAAAUUAAUAAUUUUAUAAAUGUGUUAAUGAAUAGCAUAAUCGAUAAAUUUGAGUUAAAUGGUAAAUACGUAUUAGUAUUGAACUUAAUGAUAUUGAAUUGUAUGAGAAGUAAAUGGAAAUUUCUAUUGCUAGUGAUAUGAUUUUAAUUAAAAGAAUUAUUGUGAUAUUAAAAUGUAUAUUGGAUUGAGAAAUUGAUUUGAAUUGUGAACAUGAGAAAUUAUGAAUUGAAUGAAAUGGAAAUGAAGCAUUAAAUUGUUAAGACUUGUGAAUUGCAUGAAUAUAAAUCGAGUCUCGUAGGCCCUAUUUAUUAUGAAUAUAAUAUUUAGAGGAUAUAUUGUGAAGAAUUAUAAAAGCAUGUUAAAAAUUUAAAAGUUUUAAUUUAGAUGAAAUUUUAUAAUAUGGUUAAAUACGUUUACAAGUGUAUGUGUUCUAGUAAUGCAUCACACCCUAUUCCGGCGACGGAUACGGGUAAGGGGUGUUGCAUAAAUUCAGUUAUUUUACUUAGAAAAUUACUAAAGUUAGUCGAGUAAGUAGUGUAUGGAUUGGUUAUACUUACAAUUGAGAUUCGAUCAUUUGGGUAAUGCUUGUAGGCAUUUGUAUAAUUUUGCCCAUUUUGCAGCAUAGUAUAGUUCAACUUAAGCUAGUAUGUGCAUGUACAAAGCUCAUAACUAAUAUAUUUGAUAUUAGUUAAUAUUAUGAAUUGAUAUGGCUAGUUGUGGCUUAAAUAUGCACACGUGGGAAAGCUUAUAGAAAGGAUGUAUUGUUGUAAGCUAAGUAUAUGAAAGUGACAUAUGAUUGAUACUUAUUUAGGUAUCUAAAUGCCUUAUUAUAUAGUCAUAAGGUUCGACUAAUAGAAUUAUAAUGUAUAUGUAUUAUGAUAUGAUGUUUUAUAAUAGUAAAAUAUGUUUGGUUAGUUGGUUAAGUGGUACACAUGUAUGAUUGUUAUAGAUUGAUGACCAUAUGGUUUGAAUUUGGUAAUUAUGGAACUAGUUCAAUUUGGUUUUUCGUAAGUUACCUUGAUGAAAAAUUUGAUUUGGUAAUCGGAAUGAAAUUGGUUGAAUUUUGAUAUAUGCUUUAUUUGUGAUAUAUGACUAUUAAAGUAUGAUUGAUUUGGAUUGGCUUUAUGAUUCAUAUGUUCGAAUUUAGUAUAAAUGAUUUGUGGACAUUCAAGUUUAAUAAUGUUAUAAUUGUAUCUUGAUAAUUCGGUACAUGAAAGUAAAAUAUGACUUUGAUGUAUGUUAGUUAAUAUUACUUAUUGUAUGUUUAGAAAUGAAUGACUCUCUGAGCUGUAUUUUGAUUGGUAAUGCCUCGUAACCCUAAUCUAGUGAUGGAUACGAGUUAGGGGUGUUACAUCUAUGUAUUUUAUUGAUGUCGCUCUUUUAUAGUGACAUUGUAGGUCCACAGAUGAGAAACAAGGUGGAGCCACAAUUGGGACUUGGGAGGAGUUUCAAAAAGAAUUCAAGGGGCAAUUUUACCGAGAAUAUGUCGAGGAUGAGGCUCAGGUUAAGUUGCGUCGACUUACGUAACAAGGCAUAAUCAGGGAGUAUAUGAAGGAGUUUAGUGGAUCAUGUUCUAUAUUUUUUAUUUGGGUGAGAAAAAGACAUUUUUCUCCCUUAUGGAUAGGCUGAAACCUUGGGCGGAGCAACAAUUGCAACGUCGAGCAGUCAAAGAACUUAUCAAAGCAAUGAUCGUAGCAAAGUCCUUAAUUAAGUUUGUUCCGAGGAAAGACGAGUUCAAGUCUUCCAAGACCAAUGAGACGGGUAAUGUUGUGGGAGACAAAGAAUGACAUGUUAAAAAUGACAAUGGUGAAAAUGGUGGUAAUGAGAAACUACAAAAUAAGAAGUGAAUCCGGAAGGCCCCUAUAUUAUAGGGAUUAUAUCAAAUUAGUCUCUCUAUAAAUGUACAAUUUAGUCAAAAAGAAUCAAAUAAGCCUUAAUUGUAAUAGAGUGAUCUAUCAAGUAUAGUCACCUUUUCUAAAACCAUUAGUUUGAAGUCAUUUUCAUUCUCUCUUCUUGAUAUGUCUUCUUGUUUUUUUUAAUUAUUUUGAAGGAUUAUCUUCAAUCCCAACCUUUAUUUUUUAAAUGUCUUCUUUUUGGUUAUUAUAAAAAAUCAUCUUCAAUCACAAUCAAAUUGGAAUCUUCAUUCUUUUUAAAAUUUUUGAGGUAACUAAUAGUCCUUAAACUUCUUCAAGCUUUUGUAACACCCCUUAAAUUUUACAGUAUGGUAAACAACACUAUUCUAAGAAUCACUACAAUGAAUUUUUGAGAAAAUUCAAUAAUGAGAAAAUAAAGAGAGUUUUUAGAAGGGACUAUAAUUAUUUAUUUUUGGAAAUCAAUGAAGUAAAUUUGGUAUGUGGAAUUGUGAAAAAAAUGACUAAAUUGUAAAAUUAAGAAAGUAAGAGAACUAAAGUAUAAAGUAACUAAUUUGAGAAAUUAUGGAUUGAUAAUGAUUUGUAAAUAUUAAGCCGACAUGAGACAUGUAUUAUCAAGGAAAAGCAAGUUUGGACUUAAUUGAAUAAAAUGAAAAGUAUAGGGCUCAAAUUACAAACUUCUCAUUUUGACUAGAAUAUAGGUAAAAGUAUCAUUUUCACCAUUUAUGGACUUAUUUAAGGGAUAUAUUUGAAUUUUGAUUUUUUGUUUGGAUAAGUGCUCAUUGUUGUAAAGAAAUUGUACAAAUAAACAAAAAGAAUAAUAUGAUAAGUUUGCCAUAAUCGGAUACUUUAGUCAUUUAUCAAGUACUUUACGAUGGAAAUAUUAUUUUAUUGGUAUUUUUAAUGUAUGGAAUUAAUUUGAAUUUUUAUGAUGAUAUGAGAGAAGAUAUAAAGUGUUAAGUGUCAUAUUUGGUAUUAAUUAAAGAGAAGUGAUAAGAGAAGGGACAAAGGUACAAUUUUACCAUUAAAAAUAUAUUUUGGGACUUAUCAUGAAUAUUUUAAUGAAAUUAUGGACUUUAUUUUAAUUGUGUUAUUAUGAGAAAAUUUAUGGUCAUAUAUUCCGGAUUUUUCAUUCAUGAAUCAAGGUAGAUUACUUGAGGUGAAUCUAGGGAGGCUGGCAGGGGCCCCGACCUCCCCUAAAAUGAAAAAUUGUUGUUUUAGCCUUUUAGAAAAUUUUAAAAUUUUAAAUUAAUAAAUAUAAAAUUGCACUUUUGGUGCCUCCUAAAAUUAUAAAAAUUUAAUUUAAUCCUUUAAAAAUUAUAAAGAUAUAGACUAUUAAAAAUUAAAAUUUCAUUUCGGCUCUCCCUAAUUUUUUUUUUUGGUUUCACCUAUGUAGACUACCCAUUUAAAAAUUUGUUUGACUUUGACUAAUCAAAUUAUGAUUUUUUUCCUCUCAUGUGUCGUCCCUCUCUCCUUAAGAAUUGAAAAUAUAUGUCGAAUAAUAUAAAUAUGAAAAUUGCCUCAACCUACUGCAAUUAUCUAAGGAGUAACCACUUCCUCAAGCACUCAUCUAAUUUUUCUAUAAUUUUCAGUAACUUCAAUAACUUCAAAUAUUUGUUGAGGUUUAGGAUGAAUAUUGUGAAGUGUUUUUUUAGGGAUAAUGAAUACAAAGCAAUUUAUGAGAAAAAAUGGAAUAUUACAACAAACACCUAAAAACAGAAACAAAUGUUGGCUAGAAAAUAUAAAAGUUUAAGCCAAUCGAGUCUUAGCUCGAUUGGUAUAGGUAUGUUGACAAUGCAGGAAGACGUGAGUUCGAGUGCGAUGAAAUGCAUUAUCUUCCUAUUUAUGGGUUGGGAUAGGACUAUGAGUAGUUCUAGAUAUUGUGUCAAAAAGAGCAGAUAUGAUCAGAACUUAUAAUGAGAUUGUUCAAAAAAAAGAAUUUUAUCGGGUGUUAGUAUAAGUGGCAUAAAACCAGUGAAUAGAGUUAACAAUUGAACCUGAAUUUUAAAUUUUAAAAAAUACAAGUACUAAAUUCCUAAAAAUACAAAGACCAAGUUCUUAACUUUCAAAAAGUACAAGGACUAUAACCACAUUUUAACCUUUCAUUAAUUAAAGGUUUGUCAAAGUUGAAGCUUAAUUCAAUGAUCUAUGUUAUAAAAUAUAUCUUAACCCGGCCACCUUAAGCUUUUAUUAUGGUCUAUUAAUUUAUGUUCACGACCACCUUCAACUUUUUUAUGAUCCACUAAUUUACAAUCAUAAACUUAGACUUUCUUACAGUCUAUUGAUUUAUGAUCAUGACCUUUUACUUACGAGAUUUUAUUAAUCUCACGGUCCGCUAAUUUACGAUCAUGACAUUUUACUUACAAGAUUUUAUGAAUCUCGCAAUUAGCUGAUUUACGAUCACAAAAUUUAACUUUCUUAUAAUCCACUAAUUUACAAUCACAACAUUUUACUUACAAUUUGCAAUAGUCAAUAAAUUUUCGAGUUCAAACUUGCUUGGUAAACCCUUAGUUACAUGUAUGCGUGUAAAUUUAUCUCCAAAGACUCAAUUUAUAACUCUACUUCAAUAAGUUAGGAGACAAAUUGUUAUAAAAUAAUCUUAACCUGACCCAAGAUCCAAUUCAAAAUCCAAGCCGGAAGAAACCACCUUAUAUACAUUUCUAAAUACCCUCUUAAGAAUACCGACUCGAGAGAAUAUCUUUUAUCUUCCUCUUCACCCUAACAUAUUUUUUCUCCCUACCCCACCCAACCAGAAACUGUAACAACAAUCUAUAUUGUAAACUGGGAAUAUCAAAUUGCUCUAAUCAUGCAAAUAAGUUGUUAGUUUUAGUUGCCUUAAAACAACUUUUGUACCGAUAUUUAUAAAUUUAUUUAUAUUUUAUCUAUAAUAUACCAACAGAACUUUAUGGUGUUCAAGUAAAAGCACCAAGAAAAAUGCAAUCAAAUGUCUGACCCAACUCCAUCCCCAACCAGUGGUUAAACCAAAUCCUUCAGUUAGCAAUUCCAGAUUCAGACAAAACACACGACUGUGCUACGUCUUUCCUAACUCGACCACAAUCACACUAAUGUUGUCUUUGCUACCCCUAGACAUUGCGAGUUCAACCAACACCGCCGCUGCUUCAGAAGCGCGGUUUUGAUUCAAAACAUCAGCUGUUUUGCUCCUUAUUUGGCCGUUCAGACAUCGCCUUACCACUCGACACGCCACCUCAUUCGAUACCACAUCCCAAAGUCCGUCACUAGCCAGUAUCAGGAACUCGUCACCAUUCGUUACCUCUCGUACGGUCACUUCCGGUUUGCAUAUCACAAAGGGUUUGAGGUACUGAUUACCUGCUUGCAUUCCAUUCCAAAUUACAUUACAUAUGAAUAGAAUAUUAUGUACGUAAUUGCAAAUAUAUUUGGUUACCUAUGGAUCUUGAAGUGGCCAGUACUCCAAGCACUCGAUAUCCAUUCCAGUUUAUGACCCUUCCACCAGCAGCUUCAACUCUCUCCAACUCAUCAGGCCUGUCGGGCUUUGCAAAAACAAAGUGUCAACAUGGGAGGCCACCACCACUACCUGCCCCUUUAUCUUCGUCCUUAAGCUCAGUAUAAUAUGCUAUUGAAUAAUUUUUUUUUUCAUUCCAAUAAAAUCCGUAGGACCAAGUUCUAUACUUAUAAAAGCUGUACAUCGCAAUAAUAACAGUUUGGAAGGAGCGACAAUAGAUAGUAUAUAAACAUAAUGAUUAAGCAUGCAUCAAUAUAGGUCAAAGUAGAGGCAAAGAAAACAAGUGUAAAGAAAAAGGGGGCAAAUUGAAAGAGUUGUAAAGUUAAAUUAGUAUAUAAAUAUAAGCAUCAUCCUUGAUUACCCUAAAGGGAUGGCGAGCUUAAUCCUCUUAUUGCUAAUUAGACAUUAUUUGUGGAAAACGAAGAGCUUCAGUCUAGCUUUGAGAUUCAGAUACUUCCACUCAUUUCCCAUAUAUAUGAAGUUACACCUCCAUCGAAUUGAAGAUUUCAUGGUUUCAUAGUUUCCAAUUAAAUCUUUAAGAAUAUUCAACAGGUUGAGUCCAUAAUAAUUUUCAUCAGAAGCAAAAGCUAUAAUUUGGGAGCCAGGGGUGCUUAAGCAAGCGACUCUAUAUCUUUUAUACAAAGCCUUCUCUUGGCUUAAACAUUCGAACAAGGUAUAGUUGGAUUCAGCUGGUUGGGAUCUAUAAUCUUUUAGGCCGCUGAAACUUGGUUGUUCCUCCGCGAAUGGAAAGGCAGAUAAAUUGAGAUCUAAAAGCUGCUGCCAGAGGCAACGGCCGGGAACGUAGAAGUCAAUCCGUUGAGCUUCAUAAUCUAUGUGCUUCACCAAUAGCUUCAGCGAACGUGGUAUCUUCAGCAGGGUCUGUUUGUUUUCUGAGCAGGAAAGCUGAAACCCAGGAUGAGGAUAGCCGCAGUGGGGAGACUGCUGGCCUUCUAAACGGAAGGGGAAACGGACAGGUGGAUCCUGGUGGUUGCACCGCCGCACCUUGCAGUCGUCUUGGAUUGGCACUGCUUCUGCAACAUUCACAGCUAAGAUAAAGCAGAAUAACGAGUAAAUUAACAUUGUUCUUACUAACUUGUGAGCCCCUGAAGUGAAACGGGCUUUAAAUAGUUUCAUUGACAUAGGUGGUUCAGCCCUUGAGAGUUCCAAUUAUGCACGCAACGCAGCUGCUGCUUUACUACAUAGCUUUGUCUCGUUUAACAGGGUCUUCAACUCUUCGUCCUCUCUUUGUCCUCUUUUAUGAGUAAAUGUUGGACAUGUUUGAUUGUUAGCAACCCUUUCUAACCUUGUUACUAAUUUUCUUUUAUUCCCGUUAGUUGUAGUAAAAUUUGAGGAAAAAACACUGAACAUGAGAAUGACUACCGAUUUGCUGUUGUGAUCAUAGUGGGGUCAGCUUGACUGACUUUUGUUUUUCCACCUUCGUUUCACUACAUUUUGUUUGGUAUGACUAAGAAGUUGACUGACUUUUAUGGGUUCUUUUUAAUGUCUAUCGUUUCCUUUCCAAUGUAGGUGGUUUUUUUAUCACUUUCUUUUUUUUCUAAUUUAUCUUUUAUUUUUGGAUUUUAAUUAAAAAUGGCAAAACUCGAAUCAUAUGUUUUUAAAUUACUUCUUUUAGAUACAACAAAUUUUUUAGAAGUGGAUACAAGACAAUGAGAUGAUUUUUUCCACAUGAGUAUGAAACAAUUAUAGGCAUUGUUUGCUCUACUCACCUUAUCUCGAAAUAAUCUUUUACCUUUCUUUGUAUAUAAUUAUUAAAAUGAUAAAAAUGUAAUAAUAUAUUAUAGGAAAAAUUCAUAUGUUUUAUAUUUAUAUUUUUAAAAAAUUAUGUUUAAAUAUUUUCUUGUCUUAAAAAAAGUAAAAUUAUUAAAAUAACUAGAAAUAAAAAUUAAAUUAAAGUAGAGCGAAGAAAGGUGAGAUGGGAUGGGGAUGAAUGCUUCUAAUAUCUAUGCGGUUAUAGUAAUUUUUCAGAUUAUACAUCCAAAGUGGAGAGAGGUGGGUGGUGGAGUAAAGCAUGUCAACUGUGGAGCGAUGAUGGAUUUGACAACAUUUAACCUGUCUUGCUCCAUUGCAUAAUGCUUAAUAGUAUGCCUUCUUUUUUUAUUAAAUCAUUACAAUCAAUUUUGAAUUGAUACUGUUCAGAUAAACCAAAUAGUUUCAUUUAAGUGAUAAAUCGAAACAAUAAAAUCUGUGGAUCAAAGUCUAUAAUCAAUGUGCAUAGUAUCGCCCAAUUGAUCAAAUAGGACUCUUUUAACCCUUUUAAAUUGGCAUGAGUCAUAGAACACAUGGAGAAGCCCAUCCACUUGAAGCAUUGGUGGCUCAGUGAAAUACUCCGGUAAAACUAGAGUUACCAUGGUGAAUAUUUGUAAUCCUAAGGGAUUAAAUUAUUAACUUAAUUGCAGAAAUACCAAAAUUCAAGAAUAUUUUAGUAAUUUUCUAUUUUCCUCGAAUUUCCACCCAAUCUUGAUCUAAAUUGAUAUUUCAUUCAAUUUAUUAACUUAAAUAAUAAAACAAUUCAUUUCAUGCAAUUUGGUCACUUUUUGACAUUUUUACCAAUUUACCCUUAAAAUAUUAUUUUUAUUCAAUUUAGUCCUUGAACCUAAAACAUGCAAAUUGGUUAUUUUUAAUUAAAACUCAUGCUAGUUGAACAAUCAUUUAUUUUCCUCCUCCUCCUCUCCAUUCCACAUCCUUAAUGUAUAAUAUGCUUAUAUGUAACAUUUCUAUAAUUCCACCAUUUAUUUAUAUAUUAAUUCAAAGCUAUCAACUUGAGUCAUAGUCACUAAAUCAUUUAUAUCUUUAGCUACGGAACUCCGAAUUAAGAUCCGCUAAAUUCCUAUGAAACUAGACUCGUAUAUCUUCUUACCAUAAAAUUUUAAGAAUUUUUGGUUUAGCCAAUAAGUACAGUUUAUUUUUUAAAUUUUUUCCUAUUUCACUGUUUGACAGUUCUGAACCCUCUUGACUAAAAAUUAAUUAUCUCUUUUUACAGAAUUUGGAUGAUAUUUCCGUUUUUUUCUAUUGAAAAUGGAACCAUUAAUUAUUUUAAAAAUAUAAAUUUAAGCCUAUAAUUAUUUUUAUUCAAUUUUUUAUGAUUUUUCAAAUUCAAAAUAGGGGAACCCGAAUUCAUUCUGACCUUGUCUCACAAAAUUUAUUAUAUCUCAUGAUUUACAAUUCCAUUACUUACACCGUUUAUUCUAUGAGAAACUACACUUAAUAAGCUUUAAUUCCAUGUUUUUUUCAUCCUAUAAUUCGAUUUCCAAAAUUUAUGGUGAUUUUUCAAAUUUAACCUACUGCUGCUGUCCAAAACUGUUUUAGUGCAAGAUGUUGAUUACUAAGUUUAUAACUCCCUUAUUCCCUUUCUCUAUAAUAUUUCCCAUCAUUUUCACUUAUUUCCCUUCACUAAUAUAUCAAGAACAUAAGACUUUAUUUAAGAAAACUCUACUAUAACAUCAUUUCCAUACUUUUUCAACAAUAACAAACUUAAAAAUAUAUUGAAAUCUUGAAGUUCUUACCUUGUGCUAUUGAUUUCAAUCUUUAACUUGAUUUUCUCUCUCCUCCAGCUUCUUUUUCUUGAAUCUAACUUGACAUUCUAGCUCCCCAUUGUCUCUUUAUUAUUUUUCUCUCUUGGAAGCUAUGGAAAUUCUUUUGUUUUCUAGGUGAAAAUAGUGAAUUUUUGGUGAAAGGACCAAAUUGUAAAGAAAGAAAAACUUUCUUUCUUCUCUUCUCUUCUAACGUUGGUUGCAUGGAAAGAUGAUGAUUUUUCAUCAUCUUUCCUCCCUUUUAUAUUAAUCAUCUAAUAAUAAAAUAAUACUAAAAAUCUUAAUAAAAUAUUAAUUAAAUAACAUUUAUCUAAUUAAUUAAUUAAAAAUAUCACAAACAUCAUCAUUACCUUCUAGAAUUCUCUCUCUAUUUGACCAUUUUGCCCUUUAUAAUCUUUUGAAAUUUCAUUCUUGAGUCAUCACUUAAUUUGGAAAAGUUACAAUUUAGUCCCUCAAAGUUCCUCACUUUUUCAAUUUGGUCCUAAUUCAUCCAUUUUCCUUAGUUUCUAGAUUAUUCCACCCUUAAAAUAUUUACACUAUUUGUCCUUCAAAUUUUUCAUAUUUACACUUCAACCCCUUAAAUUUUGAGUAUUUACUCUUGGGCAACAAAACUUUUCUCACGUUUGCAAUUUAAUCCUUUAUUGAAUUAAUAUAUCAUAAUAUACUUCCCAAUGUUGACAUAACUCAAUAUUACCUUUUUUAUCACUUUAUUUCCUUAUUUUACUAUAUCAAUGAUAUUAUCUUACUUUAUUACUGUAGUAAAUUUCGGGGUAUUACACAGGGAGUAUAUGAAGGAGUUCAGUGGAUCAUGUUCCAUAUUUUUUAAUUGGGUGAGAAAGAGACAUUUUUCUCCCUUAUAGAUAGGUUGAAACCUUGGGCGAAGCAACAUUUGCAACGUCGAGGGGUCAAAGAUCUUACCAAAGCAAUGAUCGUGGUGGAGUCCUUAAUUAAGCUUGUUCCAAGGAAAGAAAAGUUUGAGUCUUCCAAGACCAAUGAGAUGGGUAUUGUUGUGGGAGACGAAGAAGGACAUGUUAAAAAUGACAAUGGUGAAAAUGGUGGUAAUGAGAAACUGCAUAAUGAGAACUGAAUCUAGGAGGCCCUUGUAUUAUAGGGAUUAGAUCAAAUUAGUCUCUCUAAAAAUGUACAAUAUAGCCAAAAAGAAUCAAAUAAGUCUUAAUUGUAAUAGAGUGAUCUAUACAGUCACCUUUUCUAAAACCAUUAGUUUGAAGUCAUUUAAUUAUUCUGAAGGAUUAUCUUCAAUCCCAACCUUUUUUAUUUUGAAAUGUCUUUUUUUUUGUUAUUAGAAAAUUCAUCUUUAAUCACAAUCAAAUUGGAAUAUUCAUUCUUUUUAAAACUUUGAGGUAAUUAAUAGUCCUUAAACUUCUUCAAGCAUUUGUAACACCCCUUAAAUUUUACAGUAUGGUAAACAACAUUAUUCUAAGAAUCACUACAAUGAAUUUUUGAGAAAAUUCAAUAAUGAGAAAGUAAAGAGAAUUUUUAGAAGGGACUAUAAUUAUUUAUUUUUGGAAAUCAAUGAAGUAAAUUUGGUAUGUGGAAUUGUGAAAAAAAUGACUAAAUUGUAAAAUUAGGAAAGUUUGAGAACUAAAGUAUAAAGUAACUAAUUUGAGAAAUUAUGGAUUGAUAAUGAUUUGUAAAUAUUAAGCCGACAUGAGACAUGUAUUAUCAAGGAAAAGCAAGUUUGGACUUAAUUGAAUAAAAUGAAAAGUAUAGUGCUCAAAUUACAUAUUUCCCAUUUUGACUAGAAUAUAGGUAAAAGUAUCAUUUUCACCAUUUAUGGACUUAAAGGGAUAUAUUUGAAAUUUGCUUUUUUUUUGGAUAAGUGCUCAUUGUUGUGAAGAAAUUGUACAAAUAAACAAAAAGAAUAAUAUGAUAAGUUUGCCAUAAUCGGAUACUUUAGUCAUUUAUCAAGUACUUUAUGUUGGAAGUAUUAUUUUAUUGAUAUUUUUAAUGCAUGGAAUUAAUUUGGAUUUUGAUGAUGAUAUGAGAAGAUAUAAAGCAUUAAGUGUCAUAUUUGGUAUUAAUUAAAGAGAAGUGAUAUAAUAGAAGGGACAAAAGGUACAAUUUUGCCAUUAAAAAUAUAUUUCUUGACUUAUCAUGAAUAUUUUAAUAAAAAUUAUGGACUUUAUUUUAAUUGUGUUAUUAUGAGAAAAUUUAUGGUCAUAUAUUUUAAAUUUUUUGUUCAUGAAACAAAGUGGACUACCAGAGGUGAAUCUAGGGGGGCUGGCAGAGGUCUUGACCUCCCUUAAAAUGGAAAAUUAUUGUUUUGGGCCUUUAGAAAAUUUUAAAAUUUUAAAUUAGUAAAUAUAAAAUUACACUUUUGUCCCCCUAAAAUUAUGAAAAUUUAAUUUAAUCCUUUAAAAAUUAUAAAGAUAUAGACUAUUAAAAACUAAAAUUUCAUUUCGGCUCCCCCUAAAAAUUUUUUUUGGCUUCACCCCUGUGGACUACCCAUUUAAAAAUUUGUUUGACUUUUGACUAAUCAAAUUGUGAUUUUUUUCCUCUCAUGUGCCGUCCCUCUCUCCUUAAGAAUUGAAAAUAUUUGUCGAAUAAUAAUAGAAAUAACAAAUCCUUCUUCGAGAUGUCCAGUGAUUUCUGUGUUCUUUUUUUUUAAUGAGAUAAAGGAAUUAAUCAAGAUGUGUGUGCAAGAAAUUGAAGAAUUUGGAAACAAGUGUAGAAGAAUUUUAGGAACAUUGUGGAGUAUUCAAUGAAAUUCUCAAGAGAAAAGAUAGACAUAUAUUGCCAAUCCAAUAAAAGUAAAAUGAGAUUCCGAAAAUGUUUAAUAAUGAAUCAUUUGUAAAGGAUGAAAGUGAAGUGAGAUUAUCUUGAAGUAGACAUUACGGAGGAAAUAGUACUCAUUAAAGCUAGAAAAAAAAAGUUAAGUGUUGAUCGUUGACACUAAGAAAGUGUAUCACAAAGGAAGUGCGAAGAAGAGAUACAAGUAUUCGAAGAUGGUAAUAAAGACUUACGAGGAUUGGAAAGUGAUAAUUAAUGGAAACCAUAUAAGAGAGGUGAAAUAUAACAUUCUAAAGCUUGACCUAGAAACCUAAUCGAAUUUGGAGUGUUAUUGUGGUCAUCAGAGCAACCUGCAUGAUCAAUCGUUCAUUCAAUCACAUUAAAAUAUAAAAAAAUUAGACAUACACACAACAAGUCAUUUAACAAAACUUAAUCAUAUAAUCAUUGAGUUCCUAAAUCAAAAUCAAAACACCCAAACUGACCAAUUAGCAAAUCCUAAGUACAUGUCAAACUAUACUAUUUCAAGGGUUUUUACAAAAUAAGAAUUGCGGAGACUCUGAGGCGAUGUCUGCUCUGACUCAAACUCACAAACUAUUUGAUCCAAAUAUUACCUAUGCACGGAAUUAAUAACCCGUACAUCGGGCUUUUCAGAGCUUGGUGGAGACCAAAACAGUCUAAACUACUAAUGCAUAUAAUUGAAAAUAAAAACAUUUUAAUCAAAUACAACUAUAUAUAUAUGCAAUAAUUCGAGGAGUGAAAGUCACACUCAAUAAAAAUUGUCAGAGACGCAAUACAAUCAUGAAUCAGUCACAAAAUAACAUUUAUGUAAUAGCCCAAUUUUGACCUUAAUCGGAUAUAGUGGUUUCGAAACCAUGAAUUCGAGUCAGAAAAAUAUUUUUUAUAUUAUUUUUAGUGUUUAUUAUAUUUUAAGUUAUAGGUGUGAAAAAUUCGUGUGGAAAUUUUAUUGUUUAAAGGUUCAAUUUGAUAAAAAAUGAUUUAAUCGCGUAAAAUAAAAAUUUAGAGGUUAAAUUUUAAAAGCACUUAUUUGUUGUUGUCUUUUUAAGUGGGAGGUCUAGAGAUGUAAUUAGACCAAAAUAUAGUUAGUGGAUGACAUAUGACAACAUUGUCCCUUACAUAUAUGUUUUAUAUAUUUAUUAUAAUAAGGUUAAUUAAGUAAUUUAAUAAUUAUAAUGUAUAAAUGUUAAAAUAAACUAAGAAAAGAUGAUUUUUAUCAUCUUUGAAAGCCGAAUGUGUAAGAGAACUCAUGCAUGGUUUCUUGUUGAAUGUUCGGCACUUUUAAAGACAAAUUAAGGUAUGGGUUGGUUUCAGUUUUUGAUAAUUUUUACGUUUUUGAGAUCGUUGUUUCGAAUACUAUCCGACCCAUGUUUGAAUUUUUAAUUUUGAUGAAUAUUUUGAGUUGUGCCAUUGAUGAACAUUUGUGUUAUGUGAUGUUUGAUGAUGAAUAAUGAAAGAUACAUUUUAGAUUAAUAUGUUUUGUAUUGGAAGUUUUGGUGAAAUUGAGUAAUUAGAGUUAAAUUGUGAAAUUAAAUUUUUGAGGGAUUAAAAUGUGAAAUAAAUGAAAUGUGAGGAUUGGUAUGAACAAUAGGUACAUUCGGCCCUUAAGGAGUGUAGUCAAAAUUUGUGUAUUUUGUGUUUUGAGCAAAAAGGAUUAAAUUGUAAAAAGUGUGAAAUGUUAGGGGCAAAAUUGUAAUUUGCCCAUAUAUAUGUUCUUAGACUAAUUGAAUGAAAAAAAAAUGUUUAAAUGAGAUUUUUUUGAAUAUGUUUAGAUCAAGAAACCAAGAAAUCGAAUUUAGAUCGGGGGAAAUCGAAAGUAGUUGAGUAGCCGAUCUAUUAGUCGACGACAUCCGAGGUAAGUUAUUAAGCAUAUAUAUAUAAUUGUGUAUUUUUAAAAUCAGCUUAGUAUUUAUGUAAUUAUGCUGAAUUGAAUGAUAUAUAAAUAUACAUGUAGUGAUAAAAUUAUUGAAAUAAGAUAUAUUGAGUUGUUGACUUUUGACACUAAGUGUGCGAAUUUAAUUGUAAAGCACUAAUUGUGCAAGUUUAAUUGAAAAGCACUAAGUGUGCGAGUUUAAUGGUAAAGCACUAAGUGUGCGAACUUAUUAAAUAUUUUCGAAUAACUAUUAGCAUUGAGUAUUUGUUUUUUUUUUUUUUGAGAAAUUAUGAUUAGUAAAAUGAGUAAAUACUUGGAAUUUUUGUGGUUGUAUUUAAGGUUAAGCUUUGUAGGUAUUAAACCUAUGUGGUGAUUAUAUUUGGAAUUAUAUAUAUAUAUAAUAUGAUUCUUUAUAUUACAUGGUGAGGAACUGCAUAAUGUAUUUGGUCUUGUGAUUAAAUUUGAAGAAAUGUUUAUGGUUAUGUAAUUAUAUUGAUUUAGUUAAAUCAUAGUAAUAAGUGAAUAAUUAUCUUAUGAUAUGGUAAGCUAAAGGUAAGAUGAUUUAGUAGUAUGAAUUGGUUGAAUAUUAUUUAAGAUAUCGGUUUAAAUAGUAGAGUUUAUUUGCUUAUAACUUACUAAGCUAAAUUAGCUUACAAUGUGUUGGAUAAUUGUUUUUUUUUUAUGUAUAGAUUUUGGUGAUUGCUACGUGUUCGGGGAUCGUCAGCUAAGUUCGUCACACUAUCGAUAUUUUCUUUUGGUACUUUACUAAAUCGUUUUCAAAUAUAUGGCAUGUAUAGCAUAGUUAAAAUAUUGAAUUUGGAACUAAUGUGUAUAUGUAUUUAAAAGCCAUGCGAAAGAGGCUUAUAUAUAUUUUUUUUUUUGGACUUGAAUUUGGUUUGGAUGCAUGUGUUUAAUGAUUAUGAGUGUGGUAUAUGCUUAUGGUAUUAUUAUAUGGAGGGAUUAUUUGUUCUUGGUAUAUAUAUAUAUUGGGCUACAAUGGAAUUAAUGAAUAGUUAAUUAAAGUUAGUUGCAAGAUGUGUACACGUAUGGUUGUGUAAAAAAAUGUGGAUUUCUAACUUAAAAAUGUGUGAGAGUAGAUAUUAAUAAGCAUGCUAUAUAUAUAUAUAUAUAUAUUCAUAUAUGUGCAUGGUAUGUUUGAUUUUGGUAUGUUAAGGGUUUGGCAUUGUAUAUAGGUAAUGACUUAAAAUAAGUCUAGUUCAUGACUAGCUGCUUAUUAAAUUAUGUUUAUAAUAAUUCGGUCUUAACUUAGCUCUGCUUUGAAAUUAUGUGAUAUGAUUUGAAUGGUUAUGUUUAAUUUGAUUUUAUAUGUGACUAUAAGAUUCGGCCAUGAUGUAAUAUUAUUAUGUAUGUAUGUAUAUAUAUAUAUAUAUUCAUUUGAUUAGUAAUAGAUAUACUUAUUAAUGCCGCAUAUGAAAUAGAGGAUAGGUUUUGUAACAUAUUUUGUUUAGUCCAUUAAGUACAUGUUUAUUAAUAAGCAUAAAGAUGAUAAAAAAAAUCAUUAUAUAUAUUUUUUAUACCAUUUUAAUGAUAAACACACGAUUCGUGUAUUUAUUUUGAAGCAUAAGUUGUAUGGAUUUAAGGCAUGAUUUUUUUUAAGGUGUAAAUAUGAUUAUAUUCAUGAGAUACUAUAUUUGUUUUGUGAUUAAUAAUGUAUGUAUAAUUUGUAAUUAGUCUCUUUUUUUUCAGUAAUACCUCAUAACCCUAAUCUGGCGACGGACACGGGUUAGGCGUGUUACAAUUUAAAAUAACAAUAAAACAAUAUAAGACAUUCAAUAAAUAUCGAUGGUGUUUUGAUUCAAUGUUCAAGUUCAUUAAAUAAUUUUUCUCAAAUAACACAAGAAGGAAAGAUAUUCGAACACACGAGUGUCCAACCAAACACCAAAUGAUCAAUGAAAUUAGUGCAAGUGCCAACAAUAACAAUAUUCCAUUGGGAGAUAAUGCAACUUAGUCUAUAAUCAACCAUCACACUAAAUGCACAAAACGCAACAAUGACAAUGCUCCUGAAUGCUUAAGACAGUUCCACAAUAAACAAUGAUGGAGAUUCCUCCACCUUACGAGAUGUGGCUUAUACCAAAACAUUUCAAUUAUUAAAAUAGUAAUUAACAAUGAUUUUCGGAACAUAACCAAUUAAUAAAAAUAACAUUUUAAAAAUAGUAACCAUAAUUAAAAUCAAUUUAAUAAACUGCCACACAAGUAAAAAUUCAUAUGCAAGGAAUCAAAAUAUCAGUCCACUAAGCCAAUAAUUUAAUUGCAACAUUAACAUAAUUUAAAACGUAACGAUUACAAACUAAUUUUUUAAAUGUUGGUUGCUUAGGAUCACAUGCACUAUAAACGUAAGGACCACCGUUGAAAGCCAUGCAAAAAUCUACAAUUUUAUAUUUAUAUGUGUAUAUAUACACAUAUACAUAUACACGUAAACACUAUAAAUCAUGCCAACCAUUAACAAAGCCAUGCAAAUAUUUAUAUUUAUAUAUUUCAUAUAUUUAUACAUUCACAUGCACAUAACUAAAUACGACAUCAUGCAAAUAUAGUUAUGUACAGAAUAUUGAUAUAUUAUCUCAUUAAUUUUAAAAAUAAACAACACCAAAAGACCAAGCUUUACACUACUCACACGACAUAACAUUGGUUUCACGAAUCCUCAAAGCACUACUCCCUCUGGGCUUUCUACGAUUUAACAGCAACCUGCUUUGUCUUUAUUUGGUUGUGGCUUCUAUGCAGAUUAGACGAGAGGCUUCAAUGGAUGAUAUAAAAGAGGUGGUGUUGGUCAGUGGUGGGCAGAGGUGGCCUGAUGUCGGUGCAAGGAGAUCAACGGUUAGGACCAGGGUGACUGUGGAGCGAUGAGAUGUUGGGGCGACGGAAGAACUCACGAUGGCGAUGAGAGGGCGGACAAUGGUGCAUUGAUGGAGAUGACUCCAAGGCAGCGUGAUGAAAGGGAGGGACGACUUGGGGCAGUUGGCUGACGGUGUGGCGACUAAGAGGAUCGGUGCUUAGUGAUGGAAUGAAGGAGACAAUGCCUGACGUUGGGGAGUGAAAGGUGGUAAUCAGUCUUUUAUUAGGGGUAGAAUUCUACAAAAGAAGGGUUUUGAUAGUAGGAAAGUUUGACCAAAUGUGUAUUCUUUCUUAGUUGUAACUCUGAAACCUAAUUGAUGAUGAUGAUGAUGAUGAUGAUAGAGCACACACGCCCAGGCCACCACUCUGUCAACUAAGUUGUUUAAGGGCUAAUUCCAAUAUUUGUCCCCAAUUAAUUGCUGAGGUUUCAAUUUAAUCCAUAAAUCAAGAUCAAAAUUCAAUUAGUCUUAAAAUUAAACUAAAAAAUCAAAUAAGUUCAUAAUACACAAAAAAUCACUAAAAAUAUAAAUUUUAUCCUAAUGUUCCAAAAUUCCGAAAAUAUAUUUAUCGAACUUAUCUCGAUUUUGUGUGAAAUCAUAGUUGGAAAUUUUGGAGUGUUUCACGAAAUUAUCCAUCAAAGUGCCUUAAGAAGUAGUAGUCGAGUAGUGCGUUGUUAAAAGUUCCUAGAAAGAUGUUAACAUUGGAUAUUAAAUGAGCAUCGUGGAUGGAAAAGAGGACAUCAAAAUACGAGUAUAGAGAUUUGUAGCUUGCUACCAGAGGCAAAGCUAGUUGCUGGUAGGGCUUGACCUCCCUUUAAAUGGAAUAAUUUCAUUUAUACUCUUAUAUAGUUUAUAAAAUUUUAAAUUAGUAAUAAAAAAAUUUAUACUUUGACCUCCUUUAAAAAUUAUAAAGAUAUUAUAAAAAUAUAUAAUUUAAUUUCACCCCUAAAACAAAUUUUUGGUUUCCCGGAUUAUAGAAAAGCUAUAAUCGUGUUAUGAAGUGAUAAUGGGUAAAUAAGUAUAAGAGAAAUGAGUUGAAAAGUAGGAAGAGAGAAGUAUGUAUUUGGUAUUGAGAUCAUAUGAGUUGGGAAGUUAAAUCGUGGGUUGACGUGAACGGAUAAGGCACGCAUUGGAUGUGUGGGAAGAGAUUUAAGUCAAGAAGAAAAGUGACAGUAAUUUGAAGUAAACAAUGAAGGUUAUGCACAUGCUCAAAAGGAAAAGUUAUGAUCAUUUGAUGGGGAUGAGUCAAGAUAAGAUAGCCAAUUAAAGGUGCAAAAUUAACCCAAGUUGAGAUGAAUAUGGUGAAUAUAAGCUUGUUAACCCAAGUUGAGUGACAUGUCAAGUUAUAACAAUCAAGUGAAAAUGAUUGAUGUGGUAUAUUAAAAUUAUAUGUUAGUGACAUAUAUGGUAUGGAAGACAUUAGAAGAUAAGAAACUUAUGAUUCGUGCUAAGGUUAAGAUUUAUAGAUAUUUGAUGAAUCAAAGGACAUCUUGUGCAAUGUGAAAGAUAAAGAGGGAAAUUUAUUUAGGGUUCAACAUUUAAGUGAAGCAAAUUAUAAGGUUGUGAAAACCGUUAAAAGGAUAAAAUGUAAAUUUUAGAAUAUAAAAAAAUUAAAUUGAAUUAAUGGAAAAAAAAAUGACAAAGAGGUAAUUUUUACUUAAUUUACUUUACUGAAAGUAAAUGGAUAAUUAUGGAAUUAGAGAAUAAAGAAAAUUGGGGAAAAAAGAAGGAGGAGGAGGAGAAGUGUUGUCAUGAUUAUGACCCUUGGAUAUUAUGGAAGAGGUGAAGAAAUAAUUGCAAUUGGAUAUUAAUUAUGAUGAUGGGAUUUUUAUUAAUGUUUUAAUUAUAUUAAUUGCUAUAUGGCCGUGUGUCAAGCCAUGUGGCUCAAAUGAACGUGUGGAAGAGGUCAGUCUAUGUGGCUCCUGUACUUGUUCUGAUUUUCGAUUCUUGAUAAGUGUCAAAAGUAACAUAUUUUAAUCUCAUUCUUAAUUCAUUUUUAGAUGAUUAAUCAAUGCAAAACGGUAAAAUUUAUGCUCAUAAUCCUUUAAAUUCAUAUUUCUAUACUUAUAAGAGCAUUUGAGAGAAAAAUUAGUGAAAACGAAGCGAAAAUCAAAAAAUUGGAGCAGAUUUCAAGAGCCACACGAGUUGGACACAUGGUCAUGUGAGCCACACGGGCUGCCACACGGCCAUGUGCCAGAUAGAGACACAUGGUCAUGUGAGCCACACGCCAUGUGCCAGAUAGAGGUGCUCAUGGGCCGGGCCCGGCCGGGUUCGGGCCGGGCCCAUAAAAAAUUUCGGCCCGGGUCCUAGGCCCGGCCCGACCCGGCCCGAAAUAUGGGCCUAAGAUUUUGCCCAGGCCCGGCCCGGGAAAAAAAUCAUAAGCCCGGGCCCGGCCCGUCCCAUUUUUAUUUUAAAAAUUUUAAAAAAAUUAAAAAAAGUAUUUUAAAAAUAUUUUAAAAUUAAAAAAAAAUUAAAAAAGUAUUUUGAAAAUAUUUUAAAAUUAAAAAAUUUUUAAAAAGUAUUUUAAAAAUAUUUUAAAAUUAAAAAAGUAUGUAAAAAAUAUUUUAAAAUAAAAAAAAAUAUUUAUUAUAUCGGGCAGGGCCGGGCCCGGGCCGAAAAAGUGGUGCCCGAGGCCCGGCCCAUUUUCUAAACGGGCCUCGUUUUUUUGCCCAAGCCCAUAUUUCGGGCCUAUAUUUUUACCCAAAUCCUCUCAUAUUUCGGGCGGGCCGUCGGGCCGAGCCGGGCCACCCGGCCCAUGAGCACCUCUAGUGCCAGACCGUGUGGAUUUCGCAUUUCACACUCCAAAUAUGUGGAAUCACGCAAUUUUUAAGUUUUUCGGGCAUUCUUAGACCUAUAUAUACCAAAUAUAUGGAGAGAAGUAAGAGCCGUCAGAGAAUAUUGAAGAAAACAACUCAAAAGACAUCAUUGAAGUCGACUUUGAAACAAAUUUCUACUAAGAUUGAAGAUCUCCUUUUGAUUUCUUUGAAGUUUAUUAUGAGUUUUUUUAUUUCUUGUGGUUAUACUGUCUUUGAGAUGUUUUUACUCUCGAUUAUGAACUAAUUUUCUAAAGAUGAACCUUAUGACAAAUUUUGUCUUUUGACUUCUAUUUUAUGCAAUGAAUAAUUAAAUCUUGUUCUCAGUUAUGUGUGCUAAAUUUUUUAUUUAAUAUUUUCAAAUUAUUAAUUCAUGUUUGAUAUGCUUAAUUCAGAGUAGAUCUAGCAUAAUUCAAUGGAGUUGCAUGUAAUCCUAGAAAUAGGACAACAUAAAUCUACCCUGUUAGAGUCAAAUCUAAUAGAAGAAUUCAUAAAUCGAGUCGGUACGAUAAUAGGGAUUUCAAUUAAUCCGUAAAUAUCCCAAAAUAAUAUUCGACUUAUACGAUACAUUUCUAAAGUUGCGAAAGAGUACCUUGGGUGCAAUAUGGCCCAUGGUACCUCUAACUGUUGUCAUUGAAAUAGCAUUUUGUUCCUUGGAACACAAUUUAGCAAGGCCUGAAUGGAGGAUACGUUACUAGCCUUGAUGCAGGUACUCGAUGCCUUUGGUUACACCGACAAUAAUAUCCUGAAGUUUUUCCCAACUAAGGGAUCGAUCCGUACCCUUAGCUUGCAAAUAUGAACUUCUUUAAUGACUCGUUUGGUAGGUAUUCAUAAAUGAGAACUCAGUCAUAUCCAUCGACACAAAACUCAACCAGGCAUGUCACAUUCACAUGGUGGAUUCUGCCCAUCGAACCCACCUCAUUGAUGAACUCUCAAUAUUUAACUAAAGUUUGCUUUUUUACUUUUUUUUUUAUUUUCAUUUUUAAGAAAAUGUUAUUUUAUUAAUUCAAUUAUCAAAAUUAUUAUUAUUUUAUUUAAAUUAGAUUAAUCCUCAUUUAAUUAUUACAAGUAUAUUAUUUUAAAAUUAUAAAAAUUAUUAUUUAAUAAUUAAACAAAUAAACAUUUAAAAUCACAUACAUUACAUUAAAAACUAGUAUAUCUAAAUAUAUAUUUUACCACUUAUUUUAAUCUUGUUAUUUUUAAUUUCAUCAAAAUUAUUAUAUAUCACUCGAGCCACUGCGACUGCUGACCGGUGAUUAUUGCCUGCAUAAUUUGAUGAAAGGUUCUGAAUUAAUACAUCCAAGACUUUUAUGAGCAUCGCCAUUGACUGACCGACGACUUGUAUGAAAGAAUUUUCCACGUACGUUAGCUUUAUUACUGGACUGAUUUUUCAAAGAAAGACUUGCUCUCAAUUGGAGCCAUAAAACAAAUGAAUGAUUGGCAUUUUACAUUAAAGAGCAUCCCAUUGUUUAUUUCUUCAUCGGAGCUCCACCGGAACUUGAUGAUGUUAAGACCCAGACUUUUCUUGUUUAGCAUCUUUGCCCUUACUUUAUCUCUAUCCCCAGAUGUUUCCGAUGGUAGAGCAGGCAAAAGCAACCACUGUGGCCCAUCUUUGUGUGGACACGUUAAUAUCAGACACCCUUUCCGACUAAAAGGUCAGCCUCGUCGAUGUGGUGACCGUAGGUAUGAAUUAGAAUGCAAGAGAAACCGCACCAGUUUUCCCAUGAAAUACGGAAACUUUUAUGUCCUAAACAUCUCUUAUGUUGACCGAACGCUUCGACUUGUGGAUGUGAGUCUGGUCGAUGAAAACUGCUCAAUUCCUCGCAGUUCCAUUGUCUAUUAUCCAUACAGCUAUCAAGAAGACAUAAAUUAUGGAAGACACACCAUGUAUCUGGUAAAUUGCACGACAAGGAUGAAGUCUUCUUCAGUUUAUGUCGAUGCUUCUCGUUGCCCAACCAAUAGCUCUUCUUCUCCUUGGACCUACUUCUACUUUCCAGUCUCGUUUUCAAAUAUAUCCGAUUUCCAUCAUUCGUGUAGAUUUAUAGCCCAGUUUCCUGUCAUGCUUUCCAAUAUUAGUGGCUUAUCCCCUUCUUACAUUUACAAAAACCUGUUGGAAGGCGUCGAGGUGUCCUGGUAUAGACCCUUUAGUUUUUGGCCUUCAAACCCGGUUCUCAAAGUGUAAGAGACUUCGAUCUUUAGAUUCUUUCAAUCUAUAACUUUUCAAGGCCUUAUUUAUUGAUUGGUUGCUUUUUUUUUCCUUGGGGGGGGGGGGGGUUAUUCUAGCUUGCUACAGUUGGUGAUCUAUUCACUACGUCCAAUUUUAGCAUACAUAGUAAGCAAUGUGGCCUUUCUUCUACCGGGAAUCAUCGGCCAUUAUCCUUUUGGGAAAGGUUAAUCUUUCAGAUUUCAUAAGUAUCUUUAUUUAUUGGAUUUGCCCUUGAAUUGUAUUCGAGUUAGUAAUAUUAUUGUUCAAUUUGCGUUUUAAACAGGAGCCACCUUCGUUUGUCUUGCAGUAUCAGGUAAAUCUCUUUCCCUUCCCACUUUUUAUGUUAUCUUUAUAAAAUAAUCAUGAAUGCUGAUUUAUCCAUGUGUAUGCACCUUGAUGGGCAAGCAGGCAUAUUGUUAGCGAGAACUUUGUUGGGGAUAUUCUGCCUCAUUACACUUGUCAUAUGCAAACUAAAGAGGAGGCAUUUGUCGAUGGAUGAUGAUAUCGAAAACUUUCUUCAAAGUCAAAAUAAUUUAAUACCUAUUCGAUAUUCGUAUUCUGAAAUAAAAAGAAUUACGGAAGGUUUUAAAGUUAAAUUAGGUCAAGGUGGUUAUGGUUCUGUGUUUAAAGGAAAGCUUCGCAGUGGUCGGCUAGUGGCAAUAAAAAUGUUAGAUAAAUCCAAAGCAAAUGGAGAAGAUUUCAUCAAUGAAGUUGCUACUAUUGGAAGAAUUCAUCAUAUUAAUGUAGUGCAACUUAUUGGGUUUUGUGUAGAGAGAUCAAAACAAGCUCUUGUAUAUGAUUUUAUGGUGAAUGGGUCUCUGGAUAAAAUUAUAUUUUCAAAGGAGAAUUGCACUUUAAGUUGGCAAAAAUUAUUUGAUGUUGCACUUGGUGUGGCUCGAGGAAUUGAAUACUUGCACCGGGGUUGUCAAAUGCAAAUUUUGCAUUUUGAUAUCAAGCCGCACAACAUUCUUUUGGAUGAAAACUUUAUCCCUAAAGUUUCUGAUUUUGGUCUUGCAAAAUUAUAUUCAGUGGAUGACAGUAUUAUUUCUCUCACAGCGGCUCGUGGUACAUUAGGAUACAUUGCUCCUGAAUUAUUUUACAGAAAUAUUGGAGGCAUCUCAUAUAAAGCCGAUAUUUAUAGUUUUGGAAUGUUAUUAAUGGAAAUGGUGGGAAGAAGAAAGAAUUUGAAUGCAUUUGAUGAUCAUUCUAGUCAAAUUUAUUUUCCGUCAUGGAUUUAUGAUCGAUUUGAACAAAGAGAGAACAUAGAAUUAGGGGAUGUAACAGAAGUUGAUGACAAAAUAGCAAGGAAGAUGAUAAUGGUUGCAUUUUGGUGCAUACAAAUGAAUCCCACUAAUCGUCCUUCAAUGAGCAAAGUUUUGGAAAUGCUCGAAAAUGAACAUGAUCAACUUGAAUUGCCGUCCAGACCUUCACUAUUUUCUCUCGAAAAGUCGACUGAAGAUCAUGUUUGUAAGAAUGUAUCGGAGGAACCAUCAACGUCAAAAAGUUGUGUGGACAUCUAAGUAUAAUGUUUGAUUUUAUUCGGACCUUUUAUACAUAUAGUUCUGCAAGUACUGUAAGCUUUUAAUUUGUAGCAUUUCAUGCUCAGUUGUAUAAUAUCCAGCAUCAUGUAAUACGACUAUUAAUGGAUGUGUGUUUUAGACUUUAGCUCCUUAGCUUCAUGUUUCAAUUAUUAAAAAUGUCUCCUUUUCACCAUAUAAUGAGUUAAUAUCAAAUUCGUUAACAAUUAUUUAGUAUGUAAGUGACUCUUAACAUUGCGUGAUCUCAUGAGAAAGUUUUUACUCUCUUAUCGUAAUAUGUAAUCAUGCUGAUAAAAGUAACUUGUAAUAAUUAUGAGUGUGGUGUGGCGGUUGCUCACUUUAUUUUUUAAUCAUGUAGUCAGGGUUUGAGUUCCGCUCAUAGAAAUGGAAUACCUUCCAACGAUGAAUAUCUUAAUUUUGACAAUUAAACAACAUUUAAGAUAGAAUCUUUUCAUUUAUUAGUAGAAUUUAUAUACUAACAGCCAUGCAGCAUUUCAUUUAUGAGUUCAAAUAAAAUCUUAGCAUUGGUGUAAUAUGAGUGUGCUAAUAGGUGAUUUCAAGUUUCAACUGAUUCUAGUACUACUAACAAUGAGGCUCGAGACUGUUCUUAUUCCAUUUCUGAAAUAGUGGGUAGAUCUCUGUUAACCGGCUUCCUAGGUAUGGUGGCACCCAUCGUCUUCGGUGGAUCUGUUGACACAAAAGGAUUUGGGGGCAUUGUAAGAACGUCAAGCUCUCCCUCUAACAUCUGAACCACCACUUUCAUCGAAGGACGAUCAACGGGAUACCACUGAAUGCACCAAAGUCCAACGAUCAUGAGUUUCUUUUCUAUCCCUGUUUGUGCAUCAUCUUCAAUUCGAAUCCCGAACUCCUCUCCUUUAUCCAAACGAUCAUAUGCCCAUUCUGGGAAAUACACUUGGCUUGUAUUCUCGACCAUAACAUCUAUGUUCUUUCUCCCCCCAACCAUUUCAAGCAACAGCAUUCCAAAACUAUAAACAUCAGACUUAUAUGACACAUUUCUGAAGUUGCGAGACAGUACCUCUGGUGCAAUAUAGCCCAUGGUACCUCUUGUUGGCACAUAAUUAAAUUAACCUUGCACAAAUAAAUUAUGAAAAGUUAGAAGAGUGAAGAGACUUGAAUAUGAAUAGUGAAGAGACUUGAAGAUGAAAAGUUAAGAGUCUUGAAUAUGAAAGGAUACACACAUGCAUGAAUAGUCACAACUCCUAGCAUAUAGUGAUUUAGAUGAAUAGUCACUUACAACUCCUAUAUAAAGAGUUGUAUGUAAUGAAGAAUAAUUAACUUGUGUGCUUGAAAUAAAAGCUUAUUUGAAAGAAUUUUUCCAUACAAAAUUUAUUUCUCUUCUCCAUUAUAUUCUUUAUCAUUUUCUUUGUUUUAUUUCUCCAAAUAUUAAUUAUUCAACUACAAAUUGGUAUCAGAGCCUUGUUCGAUCGAAAUGAACAAUUCUAUUCCUCUUUCUUCCGUUCCCCAAUUAACCAAAGAAAAUUAUGGCAAAUGGAGUAUCCAAAUGAAGGCUCUUCUUGGAUCUCUAGAAGUUUGGGAGAUUGUUGAAAAAGGUUAUAAUGAAGUUGAGGCUGAAGAGGAGGAAGGAUUAUCACAAGUUCAAAAAGAGGGUUUAAGAAAAUCAAGGAAAAAAAAUAAACAAGCCUUAUUUUGGAUAUAUCAAGGAGUUCAAUCAAAUGAAGCAGCAUGGGAAAAAAUAGCUUGUGCCACCACGGCAAAACAAGCAUGGGAGGUUUUACAAAAUUCUUUCAAAGGAGAUGAAAAGGUGAAAAGAGUUCGGUUGCAAACUCUUCGAGGGGAGUUUGAAAGAUUGCAAAAAAUAGAGUCGGAAUCAGUUUUUGAUUACUGUUCACGAGUUUUGUCCAUAGUCAACCAAUUGAAAAGAAAUGGUGAAACUAUGGAUGAUAGUCGUGGUGUUGAAAAAAUCCUCCGUUCUUUGGAUUCUAGAUUUGAUUACAUUGUGGUAGCCAUUGAAGAAUCAAAGGACUUGAGUACCAUGACUAUUGAUGAACUCACAGGUUCGUUGCAAGCCCAUGAAGAAAGAUUAAACAAGAAGAAGAAGGAAGUAGAUCUAGAUCAAGCACUCCAGUCAAAGUUGUCUCUAAAUGAGAAGAAAGGAGAAUUUAAAAAUCAAAGAGGGAGAGAUCGUGGAAGAGGAAGAAAUUUUAGAGGAAGAGGCUCAAAUGCUCGUCAAAGAUAUGAAAAUACAAGCACGGAGAAUGGAUGGAAAGAAGCCAGCCAAAGUCAGAAUUUUAGAGGAUCACAAAGAGUACGUGGACGUGGAAAUCAAAGAGGAAGAGGUCGUGGCUAUUUUGAAUGUUAUCAUUGUCGCAAACCUGGUCAUUUGGCAAGUGAAUGCUGGUACAAGAAAGAAGAGAAAAAUGAAGCUAAUAUAGUACAAAAUAAUCAAGAGCAAAAGCAAGAAACUUUGUUGCUCGUGUCUCAUGGUGGAGAGAUUGAUGAUGUCUGGUACAUAGACAGUGGUGCUAGCAAGGCUAUGACAGGUAACAAAAAUUUAUUUUCGAAGUUCUUUGAAUCUGAUUGUGGAGAAGUAAAAGUAGGAGAUGGCAAUGCUUACAAAGUUAGCGGUGUUGGUGAGUUGGAGUUCAAAACAAAGCAAGGAAGGGUAGAGAAAAUGUCUGAAGUUUAUUUUGUUCCCGGACUUAAAAAUAAUCUGCUUAGUGUUGGGCAUCUUUUAAAGAAGGGGUAUGAUAUUCAUUUUCGUGACAUGGCUUGCUAUUUAUCAAGGAAAAAUCAGGUUGUUGCUAGAGUUGGAGUGGCAUCAAAUAAUCUUUUCUCUCUCACCCUUCAAAAUCAGAAUAUGUCUUGUUUUAUUGGUGCUCAUAAAGGAGUUUCAAAGUUAUGGCAUGAUAGAUAUGGACAUUUGAACUAUGGAAAUUUGGAGAUGCUUUCAAAGAAGAUGAUGGUCAGAGGUUUACCAAAAAUCAAUCGACUUGAUGAUAUUUGUGAAGCAUGUCAACUUGGAAAGCAACACAAAAUUACUUUUCCUUCUCAAUCAUCGUGGAAAGCAAGAAGACCAUUGCAACUUAUUCACUCAGAUCUUUGUGGUCCAAUGACAAUUUCAUCUUUGGGAGGUAAUCGUUAUUUUAUCUCUUUCAUUGAUGAUUACUCAAGAAAGUUAUGGGUGUAUUGUGUAAAAGAAAAAUCAGAGGCUUUUCAGAGAUUCAAAGAUUUCAAGGCAGAAGUGGAGAACUUUACUGGGCUAAAAAUUAACACCUUACGGACAGAUCGUGGAGGUGAAUAUUUUUCAAAAGAAUUUGAGAAAUAUUGCCGAGAUAGUGGCAUCCGGCAUGAAAUGACAGUCCGCCAUACACCUCGGCAAAAUGGUGUGUGUGAAAGAAAGAAUAGAACAAUUAUGGAAAUGACUAGAUGUCUUCUUAGGAAGAAGAGGUUAUCAAGAAGAUUUUGGGCUGAAGCUGUUUCUUGUGCAGUUUAUCUUAUAAAUAGAUCACCGACAAGAAGCUUGGAGAAUUGCACACCACAUGAGGCGUGGUAUGGUAUAAAGCCUAGUGUUAGUCAUCUUAGAGUAUUUGGGAGUGUUGCAUACUCUCAUAUUCCAGAUGCAAUGAGAAGCAAGUUGGAUGACAAGUCAGAGAAAUGCAUUUUUAUUGGUUAUAGUGAAAGAAGUAAGGCAUACAAGUUGUACAAUCCGGUGACAAAGAAGAUUGUGAUAAGCCGAGAUGUUCGGUUUGAUGAAAAUUCCAUGUUUGAAGAUAUAGAAGUUGAAAAGGAAAAUUUGCCAAUUUUUCCUUUUGAACUUGAAGAAGAAGAAGAUGCAGUAAUUGAGAAUGCUGAAGAUGAUGCUCAAGUAGGAAAUCCUCCUGCUUCCUCAAGUUCUUCAUCAAAUUCUUCUUCAUCCAGCCCGAUCCGAAAAACGAGAAGCAUCCAAGAGUUAUAUGAUGUAACGGAUGAAGUUGUGCAAAAUGAUGUUGUAUUCUUUGCCUUCUUUGCAGGAGAAGAUCCAAUUUCUUUUGAUGAUGCAUAUCAAGAAGAAAUAUGGAGGAAAGCCAUGAAAGAAGAGAUUUGCUUAAUUGAAAACAAUGAUACAUGGGAACUCACAGAUUUACCGCCGCACAAGAAUUUAAUUGGAGUCAAAUGGGUGUACAAGACAAAGAUGAAUCCGAAUGGCUCUAUCAACAAGUACAAGGCAAGACUGGUUGCAAAAGGAUACAAACAAAAGGAAGGAGAAGAUUUUACAGAGGUAUUUGCUCCAGUUUCAAGACUUGAGACAGUUCGGUUACUUAUUUCUCUUGCUGCCCAAAACAAUUGGAAAAUGUUCCAAAUGGAUGUAAAAUCUGCGUUUUUGAAUGGUGUUCUCAAAGAAUAAGUCUAUGUUGAUCAACCACCAGGGUUUGUCAAAAAAUGAGAAGAAGAAAAAGUUUACAAGUUGAAGAAAGCUUUGUACGGGUUGAAGCAAUCACCCCGAGCUUGGUACAGCCGAAUCGAUUCUUAUUUUCAGAAGUGUGGAUUCCAGAAAUCUCCAUAUGAGCAUACUCUCUACAUCAAAGGCAAUUAUCAAGGAAGAUUCAUGGUUGUUAGUCUCUACGUUGAUGAUCUUAUUUUCACAGGAAAUGAUGUGAAGAUGUUGAAAGAAUUUCAGCACUCAAUGAUGGCAGAAUUUAAGAUGAUAGAUUUGGGAGAACUUCAUCAUUUUCUUGGUAUUGAAGUUCAUCAAUCUAAGAAAGGAAUUUUUAUUUCACAAGAGAGCUACGCAAAGGAAGUUCUAAAAAAGUUCAUGAUGGAAAAUGCGAAUCCAAUCUCUACUCCAUGCAUUACAAGUCUGAAGUUAUCUAAAGAGGGUGAAGGAAAGCUUGUCAAUUCCACCAUAUUCAGAAGUUUGGUUGGGAAGUUGAUGUAUCUGACUUCGACAAGGCCUGACAUCGUGUAUGCUGUUAGUUUGGUGAGUAGAUUCAUGGAGAAACCUUACUCCAAUCACUGGGAGGCUGCUAAGAGAAUAUUGAGAUAUGUGAAGGGAACCAUUGAUUAUGGAAUUUUCUAUAAAGCUAAUACUUAGUUGAUCUCAUUGGUUAUACGGAUAGUGAUUUAGCAGGAAGCAUUGAUGAUAGCAGAAGCACUUCUGGUUAUGUUUUUCACCUUGGGAGUGGUGCAGUUUCAUGGAGUUCAAAGAAACAAUCAAUUGUGGCGCUUUCGACUACAGAAGCUGAAUAUAUCGCUGCAUCUUAUGCAGGAUGUCAAUUGAUUUGGUUACGUGGAAUUUUGGAAAGUCUUAAGCAGAAGCAAAGCAAGUCAACAAUUUUGUUUUGUGACAAUAGUUCUACUAUUUCGGUCACAAAAGAUCCAGUUCUUCAUAGAAGGACAAAACACAUUCGCAUUCGAUAUCACUUCUUGAGGGAACUAGUGAAUAAUGGUGAUGUUCAAGUUGAAUAUUGCAAGACAGAAGAUCAGAUGGCUGAUAUCUUCACAAAGCCUCUAAGUGGACAAGUCUUCAAGAAAAAUGUUGAAAGGUUGGGAGUUCAAAGCAAGUUUAAUUUAAGGGAGGCAUUGUUGGCACAUAAUUAAAUUAACCUUGCACAAAUAAAUUAUGAAAAGUUAGAAGAGUGAAGAGACUUGAAUAUGAAUAGUGAAGAGACUUGAAGAUGAAAAGUUAAGAGGCUUGAAUAUGAAAGGAUACACACAUACAUGAAUAGUCACAACUCCUAGCAUAUAGUGAUAUAGAUGAAUAGUCACUUACAACUCCUAUAUAAAGAGUUGUAUGUGAUGAAGAAUAAUUAACUUGUGUGCUUGAAAUAAAAACUUAUUUGAAAGAAUUUUUCCAUACAAAAUUUAUUUCUCUUCUCCAUUAUAUUCUUUAUCAUUUUCUUUGUUUUAUUUCUCCAAAUAUUAAUUAUUCAACUACACCUCUAGCUGUUGUCAUUGAAAUAGCACUUUGUUCCUUGGAACACAAUUUAGCAAGGCCGAAAUCAGAGAUCUUAGGAUUGAAGUUGUGAUCAAGCAAAAUAUUGUGAGGUUUGAUGUCGAAAUGGAGGAUACGUUGCUCGCAACCUUGAUGCAGGUACUCGAUGCCUUUGGCUACACCGACAGCAAUAUCCUGAAGUUUUUCCCAACUAAGGGAUCAAUCCUUGCCCUUGGCUGCAAAUAUGAACUUCUCUAAUGACUCGUUUGGUAGGUAUUCAUAAACGAGAGCUCGGUCAUAUCCAUCGGCACAAAAGCCAACCAGGCGAGUCACAUUCACAUGGUGGAUUCUGCCCAUCGAACCCACCUCGUUGAAGAACUCUUCACCAUUUCCCUUGAAAUUAUUGAGUACCUUGACAGCAACUAAAACAUCACUGGAAAGUCUGCCUUUGAAGACAGUUCCAUAGCCUCCUUGUCCCAGUUUGUCCUUGAAAUGAUUAGUUAUCCUUUUAAUAUCAGCAUAGGAGUAUCUUGAGGGUUUAAACCCUUUAUAAUCUUCCAAAAACUUUUCAAUCUUGACUUGAAUUUCUUUCUCCUUUUUGUCUAACUGAUAUCUCCACCCAACUGCAAUGGCAAUGGUUGCAGCAAUUGAAGAACCCAACACAAUACCUGCAAAUCAGCAUACAUCCCUCUGUUAUAUCCCGUCUUAAAUUUUUGAAGCUAAAAGGGAAAUUCCAUUUACCUGCAAUCAUUAGCCUUUCUCCCAAACCUGCCAAGCAUUUAAAAUUAUUCAGCUUUGAUACAUGGGAAAUCUAAGAAAAGGGCUCACUGUAAGUUUACAACAUUAAGCUUCACGUUGAUGCAGGCUAAUGAAUUUUUUAACGUACGUUGUACAAUUAUAAUAGUUAAAACAUACCUAUAUGGUGCUUGGGGAUAUCAAAACACUCGGUUUGUUCCUUGGUGCUAUUAUUGUUGUUCAAUCUACAUCCCCUUCCUUGAGCUUCGCAAUCACCACAGUCUGGUUUAUACCAACGUAACUGAAAACGGAUACCAUAAGGAGAAAUGGGUGUUGAGAAGUUGCGAAAGUAGCUGCAAUUCAACAGGUUGAGUCCAUAAUAAUUUUCAUCAGAAGCAAAAGCUAUAAUUUGGGAGCCAGGGGUGCUUAAGCAAGCGACUCUAUAUCUUUUAUACAAAGCCUUCUCUUGGCUUAAACAUUCGAACAAGGUAUAGUUGGAUUCAGCUGGUUGGGAUCUAUAAUCUUUUAGGCCGCUGAAACCUGGUUGUUCCUCCGCGAAUGGAAAGGCAGAUAAAUUGAGAUCUAAAAGCUGCUGCCAGAGGCAACGGCCGGGAACGUAUAAGUCAAUCCGUUGAGCUUCAUAAUCUAUGUGCUUCACCAAUAGCUUCAGCGAACGUGGUAUCUUCAGCAGGGUCUGUUUGUUUUCUGAGCAGGAAAGCUGAAACCCAGGAUGAGGAUAGCCGCAGUGGGGAGACUGCUGGCCUUCUAAACGGAAGGGGAAACGGACAGGUGGAUCCUGGUGGUUGCACCGCCGCACCUUGCAGUCGUCUUGGAUUGGCACUGCUUCUGCAACAUUCACAGCUAAGAUAAAGCAGAAUAACGAGUAAAUUAACAUUGUUCUUACUAACUUGUGAGCCCCUAAAGUGAAACGGGCUUUAAAUAGUUUCAUUGACAUAGGUGGUUCAGCCCUUGAGAGUUCCAAUUAUGCACGCAACGCAGCUGCUGCUUUACUACAUAGCUUUGUCUCGUUUAACAGGGUCUUCAACUCUUCGUCCUCUCUUUGUCCUCUUUUAUGAGUAAAUGUUGGACAUGUUUGAUUGUUAGCAACCCUUUCUAACCUUGUUACUAAUUUUCUUUUAUUCCCGUUAGUUGUAGUAAAAUUUGAGGAAAAAACACUGAACAUGAGAAUGAAUACCGAUUUGCUGUUGUGAUCAUAGUGGGGUCAGCUUGACUGACUUUUGUUUUUCCACCUUCGUUUCACUACAUUUUGUUUGGUAUGACUAAGAAGUUGACUGACUUUUAUGGGUUCUUUUUAAUGUCUAUCGUUUCUUUUCUAAUGUAGGUGGAUUUUUUCUCACUUUCUUUUUUUCUAAUUUAUCUUUUAUUUUUAAAAAUGGCAAAACUCGAAUCAUAUGUUUUUAAAUUACUUAUACAAAUUUUUUUAAAAGUGGAUACAAGACAAUGAGAUGAUUUUUUCCACAUGAGUAUGAAACAAUUAUAGUCAUUGUUUGCUCUACUCACCCUAUCUCGAAAUAAUCUUUUACCUUUUUUUUUGUAUAUAAUUAUUAAAAUGAUAAAAAUGUAAUAAUAUGUUAUAGAAAAAAUUCAUAUGUUUUAUACUUAUAUUUUUUAAAAAUUAUGUUUAAAUAUUUACUUUUCUUAAAAAAAAGUAAAAUUAUUAAAAUAACUAAAAAUAAAAAUUAAAUUAAAGUAGAGCGAAGCAAGGUGAGAUGGGAUGGGGAUGGAUGCUUCUAAUAUCUAUGCGGUGAUAGUAAUUUUUCAGAUUAUACAUCCAACACAAGUAAAAAUUCAUAUGCAAGGAAUCAAAAUAUCAGUCCACUAAGCCAAUAAUUUAAUUACAACAUUAAGAUAAUUGAAAACGUAACGAUUACAAACUAAUUUUUUAAAUGUUGGUUGCUUAAAACGUAAGGAUCACAUGCACUAUAAACGUAAGGACCACCGUUGAAAGCCAUGCAAAAAUCUACAAUUUUAUAUUUAUAUGUGUAUAUAUACACAUAUACAUAUACACGUAAACACUAUAAAUCAUGCCAACCAUUAACAAAGCCAUGCAAAUAUUUAUAUUUAUAUAUUUCAUAUAUUUAUACAUUCACAUGCACAUAACUAAAUACGACAUCAUGCAAAUAUAGUUAUGUACAGAAUAUUGAUAUAUUAUCUCAUCAAUUUUAAAAAUAAACAACACCAAAAGACCAAGCUUUACACUACUCACACGACAUAACAUUGGUUUCACGAAUCCUCAAAGCACUACUCCCUCUGGGCUUUCUAUUAACAGCAACCUCCUUUGUCUUUAUUUGGUUGUGGCUUCUAUGCAGAUUAGACGAGAGGCUUCAAUGGAUGAUAUAAAAGAGGUGGUGUUGGUCAGUGUUGGGCAGAGGUGGCCUGAUGUCGGUGCAAGGAGAUCAACGGUUAGGGACGAGGGUGACUGUGGAGCGAUGAGAUGUUGGGGCGACGGAAGAACUCACGAUGGCGGUGAUAGGGCGGACAAUGGUGCAUUGAUGGAGAUGACUCCAAGGCAGCGUGAUGAAAGGGAGGGACGACUUGGGGCAGUUGGCUGACGGUGUGGCGACUAAGAGGAUCGGUGCUUAGUGAUGGAAUGAAGGAGAUAAUGCCUGACGUUGGGGAGUGAAAGGUGGUAAUCAGUCUUUUAUUAGGUUUGAUAGUAGGAAAGUUUGACCAAAUGUAUUCAUUCUUUAUUAGUCAUAACUCUGAAACCUAAUUGAUGAUGAUGAUAGAGCACACACACCUAAGCCACCACUCUCUCGACUAAUUCCAGUUUUUCCUUGCUUUUCAAAAGUAUUUUUAGAAAAUACUUUUAAAGUACUUUUAAAAAAUUUGAGUAUUUGGUAUUACUAACAUAAAGUGUUUUUGAAAAAUAAAAUAUUUAUUUUAGACAUGAUAUUAUAAAGUAAUAAAUAUGUAUUUAAAUAAUAUUCAAAUUAGUUAAUAUUAUGAUAUUUUAGCAAAAAAAUAAAAAAUAAUUUAUUAUAACUUAUUGUUAAUAUUUUAAUAUAUAAUAUUAAUUUUAAAUAUUUCUAAGUAAUUAAUAUUAAUUAUUUAUUAACUUUAAUUAGAAUAUAUAAACUAUAUUUAAAUAUUUAAAUAUAAUAAUUAAAUAAUUGUAAUUAGAUAUUGACACAACUGUAUUAUUAUAAAAAUUAUUUUUUAUUUUUAAUUAAUACUUUUUAACACAUUUGUAUUAUUUUAUUUUAAAAUGUAUUUGAAUAUAUAACUCAUAUUAGAUAUUAACAUAACAUAGAAAACAUAAACUUAAAAAAUUAAAAUAUUACAUAUAUUUGGAUUAAAGUUUUAAAAAGGGAUAAUAUUUAUAUACCAAAUAUAAAUACUAAAAAUCUUACAAUAGCAUUUACAAUUUAAAGUGAAUUCAUUAAACUAGAAGUUAUAGCAUCUCUUGUUAAUUCCAUUUCAAAACCACUUGAAUUGUUUGAUUCACUGUCAUCAUCACUAUCUUCGUCGUCGUCGUCAUCAUAUCACUUUAUCGACCAUGCGCAUUUUCUGAAUCAAUAAUAUUCUCAUAUGCCCAGUUAAUAUCUUCGUAUUCCAUAAAAUCUACAUCAUUUCGACCGAAAUGUUUUCAGAUAAAAUUGUGUAUCGUCAUUGUAGCAACAACGAUCAUGGUUUGCUUUCAAAAAUAUAACUUGGCAUAUCCCUUAAAAUGGCUCUUUUUUUCAAAACACCAAAAGUUCGUUCAAUUACACUACGUAAUGAUGAAUGUGAAUGAUUGAAUAUCUCUUCUAUACCAGAUAUCGGUCUACUUCUACAAAAGUCAAGUAAAUGAUAUCGCUGAUAUUUUGGUAGGGGUUUUGCUUAUGAUUGCGGCACUCUUUAAUAUGUACCAUUUGCAAUACAUUUAAGUAAAAAUAUUAUUAUAUAUAAAGUCCUAAGGCAGUCAUUAAGAAAACCCAUGUAGUUACUUCAAACAUGUGGUAUUAUUGAUUAUCAAAGUAAUGGCAUUAAAGGCAUGACUUCCCCACUCCACCGGUCCAGCUGCAACUGCAUUAAUGGAGUAAAAAAGACACAUACCUAGCUACAAAACUCAAUUAUGGCUUGUUUCCAAACCUUACCAAACCAUGAACUCAACAUGAUACUUCAAACAAUUGAAUCACCAAACUAAAAGAGAAAAAAAGAAUUUCAAAAACUAGAAUAAAUUGCUUGGAUGUUUAAGUUCAAACCUGGGAAUAUAUAUAUAUAGAAACGCAAAAGCUGAAGCAAAAAGAAAAGAAAAAAGCCAGUGUAACCUCCAGUAAGAAGCUCAAAAGAAUGGAAAUGCUAGCAUUAAUUACCAAUCAGAAUUAAUAUAUAGUAAAGUAAUUAAGUUGAAAAAAAGAACUUUGCAAAUGAAGAAGAGACAGAAAACAACACACAUAAAAAAUGGACAAAGACUGAUGAUGUUUGUAAACCAUCCAGAAAAUAGAAUAAGAAGAGAACAAAUCCAUCAACCACCUCUCUGAAAACUAUCCAUUUGCCAGCAGAGGAACAAAAAACCAGCACCAGCAGAGGAACAUAGAACGAGCGAUGAAAGAAGAGAUGAGAGCAAAGAACCACUGUUGUAUGUGUGGCUAAAAAAGUAAAAGACUAGCCCAAAAGUACUUUUUUGCUGAAAAAGCUAAAAAAUUCUACUUUUUCAUCUGCCCAAAAGCACUUCAAAUAAGUUCGAAAUUUGCUACCAAAUGAAGUCGGUUCUGCAUUGCUUUUUAGAUAAAAGCACUUUUCCUUUACUGAAUUGAAUUAAUGGAAAAAAACGACAAAGAGUGUAAUUUUUACUUUACUUUACUGAAAGUGAAUGGAUAAAUAUGGAAUUAGAGAAUAAAGAAAAUUGGGGAAAAAAGAAGAAGAAGAAGGAGAAGUGUUAUCAUGAUUAUGACCCUUGGAUAUUAUGGAAGAAGUGAAGAAAUAAUUGCAAUUGGAUAUUAAUUAUAAUGUUGGGAUUUUUAUUAAUGUUUUAAUUAUAUUAAUUGUUACAUGGCUGUGUGGCUCAAAUGGACGUGUGGAAGAGGUCAGUUUAUGUGGCUCCCGUACUUGUUUUGAUUUUCGAUUCUUGAUAAGUGUCAAAAGUAACAUAUUUUAAUUUCGUUCUUAAUACGUUUUUAGAUGAUUAAUCAAUGCAAAAUGGUGAAUUUUAUACUCAUAAUCCUUUAAAUUCAUAUUUCUAUACUUAUAAGAGCAUUUUGAGAAAAAAAUGAGUGAAAACGGAGCGAAAAUCAGACAAUUGGAGUAGAUUUCAGGAGCCACACGGGUUGGACACACGGUCAUGUGAGCCACACGAGCUGCCACACGAGCUGCCACACAGCCAUGUGCCAGACCGUGUGGAUUUCGCGUUUCACACUCCAAAUAUGUGGAAUCACGCAGUUUUUAGGUUUUUCGGGCAUUCUUAAACCUAUAUAUACCAAAUAUAAGGAGAGAAGUAAGAGCCGUCAGAGAAUAUUGAAGAAAACAACUCAGAAGACACCAUUGAAGCCAACUUUGAAACAGAUUUCCACUAAGAUUGAAGAUCUCCUUUUGAUUUAUUUGAAGUUUAUUAUGAGUUUCUUUAUUUUUUGUGGUUAUAUUGUCUUUGAGAUGUUUUUAUUCGCGAUUAUGAACUAAUUUUCUAAUACCUAGGGGAGAUGAACCUUAUAAUGAAUUUUGUCUUUUGAUUUCUGUUUUAUGCAAUGAAUAAUUGAAUCUUAUUCUUAGUUAUGUGUGCUUAAUUCUUGAUUUAAUAUUUUCUAAUUAUUAAUUCAUGUUUGAUGUGCUUAAUUCAAAGUAGAUCUAGCAUAAUUGAGUGGAGUUGCAUGUAAUCUUAGAAAUAGGACGACAUAAAUCUACCGAAUUAGGUAUUCAUAAACGAGAACUCAAUCAUAUCCAUCGGCACAAAACCCAACCAGGUGAGUCACAUUUACAUAGUGGAUUCUACCCAUCGAACUCACCUCAUUGAUGAACUCUUAAUAUUUAACUAAAGUUUGCUUUCUACUUUUUUUUUUAUUUCCAUUUUUAAGAAAAUGUUAUUUUAUUAAUUCAAUUAUCAAAAUUAAUAUUAUUUUAUUUAAAUUAGAUUAAUCCUCAUUUAAUUAUUACAAGUAUAUUAUUUUAGAAUUAUAAAAAUUAUUAUUUAAUAAAUUAAACAAAUAAACAUUUAAAAUCACAUACAUUACAUUAAAAACUAAUAUAUCUAAAUAUAUAUUUUACCACUUAUUUUAAUCUUGUUAUUUUUAAUUUCAUCAAAAUUAUAUAUCACUCGAGCCACUGCGACUGCUGACUGGCGAUUAUUGCCUGCAUAAUUUGAUGAAAGGUUCUGAAUUAAUACAUCCAAGACUUUUAUGAGCAUCGCCAUUGACUGACCGACGACUUGUAUGAAAGAAUUUUCCACAUUAGCUUUAUUAUGGACUGAUUUUUCAAAGAAAGACUUGCUCUCAGUUGCAGCCAUAAAAUAAAUGAAUGAUUGGCAUUUUACAUUAAAGAACAUCCCAUUGUUUAUUUCUUCAUCGGAGCUCCACCGGAACCUGAUGAUGUUAAGACCCAGACUUGUCUUGUUUAGCGUCUUUGCCCUUACUUUAUCUCUAUCCCCAGAUGUUUCCGAUGGUAGAGCAGGCAAAAGCAACCACUGCAACCCAUCUUUGUGUGGACACGUUAAUAUCAGUCACCCUUUCCGCCUAAAAGGUCAGCCUCGUGGAUGUGGUGACCGUAGGUUUGAAUUAGAGUGCAAGAGAAACCGCACCAGUUUUCCCACGAAAUACGGAAACUUUUAUGUCCUAAACAUCUCUUAUGUUUACGGAACGCUUCGACUUGUGGAUGUGAGUCUGGUCGAUGAAAACUGCUCAAUUCCUCGCAGUUCCAUUGUCUAUUCUCCAUACAGCUAUCAAGAAGACAUAAAUUAUGGAAGACACACCAUGUAUCUGGUAAAUUGCACGACAAGGAUGAAGUCUUCUUCAGUUUAUGUCGAUGCUUCUCGUUGCCCAACCAAUAGCUCUUCUUCUCCUUGGACCUACUUCUACUUUCCGGUCUCGUUUUCAAAUAUAUCCGAUUUCCAUCAUUCGUGCAGAUUUAUAGCCCAGUUUCCUGUCAUGCUUUCCAAUAUUAGUGGCUUAUCCCCUUCGUACAUUUACAAAAACCUGUUGGAAGGCGUCGACGUGUACUGGUAUAUACCCUAUACUGAUUGGACUUUAAACCCGAUUCUCAAAGUGUAAGAGACUUCGAUCUUUAGAUUCCUUCAAUCUAUAACUUUUCAAGGUCUUAUUUAUUGAUUGGUUGCUUUUGUUUUUCCUUGGGGGGGGGGGGGGGGGGGUUAUUCUAGCUUGGUGAACUAUCUGCUACUUCCAAUUACAGCAUACAUAGUAAGCAAUGUGGCCUUUCUUCUACCGGGAAUCUUCGGCCAUUAUCCUUUUGGGAAAGGUUAAUCUUUCAGAUUUCAUAAGUAUCUUUAUUUAUUGGAUUUGCCCUUGAAUUGUAUUCGAGUUAGUAAUAUUAUUGUUCAAUUUGCGUUUUAAACAGGAGCCACCUUCGUUUGUCUUGCAGUAUCAGGUAAAUCUCUUUCCCUUCCCACUUUUUAUGUUAUCUUUAUAAAAUAAUCAUGAAUGCUGAUUUAUCCAUGUGUAUGCACCUUGAUGGGCAAGCAGGCAUAUUGUUAGCGAGAACUUUGUUGGGGAUAUUCUGCCUCAUUACACUUGUCAUACGCAAACUAAAGAGGAGGCAUUUGUCGAUGGAUGAUGAUAUCAAAAACUUUCUUUAAAGUCAAAAUAAUUUAAUACCUAUUCGAUAUUCGUAUUCUGAAAUAAAAAGAAUUACGGAAGGUUUUAAAGUUAAAUUAGGUCAAGGUGGUUAUGGUUCUGUGUUUAAAGGAAAGCUUCGCAGUGGUCGGCUAGUGGCAAUAAAAAUGUUAGAUAAAUCCAAAGCAAAUGGAGAAGAUUUCAUCAAUGAAGUUGCUACUAUUGGAAGAAUUCAUCAUAUUAAUGUAGUGCAACUUAUUGGGUUUUGUGUAGAGAGAUCAAAACAAGCUCUUGUAUAUGAUUUUAUGGUGAAUGGGUCUCUGGAUAAAAUUAUAUUUUCAAAGGAGAAUUGCACUUUAAGUUGGCAAAAAUUAUUUGAUGUUGCACUUGGUGUGGCUCGAGGAAUUGAAUACUUGCACCGAGGUUGUCAAAUGCAAAUUUUGCAUUUUGAUAUCAAGCCGCACAACAUUCUUUUGGAUGAAAACUUUAUCCCUAAAGUUUCUGAUUUUGGUCUUGCAAAAUUAUAUUCAGUGGAUGACAGUAUUAUUUCUCUCACAGCGGCUCGUGGUACAUUAGGAUACAUUGCUCCUGAAUUAUUUUACAGAAAUAUUGGAGGCAUCUCAUAUAAAGCCGAUAUUUAUAGUUUUGGAAUGUUAUUAAUGGAAAUGGUGGGAAGAAGAAAGAAUUUGAAUGCAUUUGAUGAUCAUUCUAGUCAAAUUUAUUUUCCGUCAUGGAUUUAUGAUCGAUUUGAACAAAGAGAGAACAUAGAAUUAGGGGAUGUAACAGAAGUUGAUGACAAAAUAGCAAGGAAGAUGAUCAUGGUUGCUUUUUGGUGCAUACAAAUGAAUCCCACUAAUCGUCCUUCAAUGAGCAAAGUUUUGGAAAUGCUCGAAAAUGAACUUGAUCAACUUGAAUUGCCGUCCAGACCUUCACUAUUUUCUCUCGAAAAGUCGAUUGAAGAUCAUGUUAGUAAGAAUGUAUCGGAGGAACCAUCAACGUCAAAAAGUUGUGUGGACCUCUAAGUAUAAUUUUUGAUUUUAUUCGGACCUUUUAUUCAUAUAGUUCUGCAACUGUAAGGUUUUAAUUUGUAGCAUUUCAUGUUCAGUUGUAUAAUAUCCAGCAUCAUGUAAUACAACUAUUAAUGGAUGUGUGUUUUAGACUUUAGCUCCUUAGCUUCAUGUUUCAAUUAUUAAAAAUGUCUCCUUGUCACCAUAUAAUGAGUUAAUAUCAAAUUCGUUUACAAUUAUUUAGUAUAUAAGUGACUCUUAACAUUGUGUGAUCUCAUGAGAAGGUUUUUACUCUCUUAUCGUAAUAUGUAAUCAUGAUGAUAAGAGUAUCUGAUACGGGGUUGCGCGCGGACCAAGAUCGAGUUGCCAAAUCACGAGAAACUCCUACGAAAACCCUAAACAAUCAGAUCUGAAACGAAACAGAAAAUUAAAAGAUUAGAUUUUUGAAUUUUCAAAUCUGAAAUAAAAUCCCCAAAUCAGCAAAGAAUCAAAUUGAGAAUAGAAAUAAGUGUUAGGGUUAUUGAAACCCUCAAGGAGAUUGUGAUUCUGCCCAAUUGAACACCAAGAUAGUUUUCCCCAAAUUUCGACAAUCUAAUUUCACCCAAAAAGAGUAUGGAAAAACCCUAGAAAUUGGGGAUUUUUGGGCUGAUUCCUUAAGAUAGAAAAAGGCUGAAAACGCAAUAAGAACAAAAAAUAGAUUAGAUAAUGAUUCAGCACAAGUAGAAAUAAAGAAAGAAUUGACAGUAAGAAAUUAAAAGAUAAGUCCUAAGAAGCCUUGAAAUCCCGAAAGAUCUCACAACUCCCUUCAAACGGCUCUAAUCUCCCCUCCAAAGAAUAUCAAUGGCAAGAAGAAGGUUGAAGAUGGCUCCCACAAUCAAAAAGAUUGUUAAAACAACUUCUAAAGAAAACUCAAGAGAAAAUCCUUGAAGAACUCAAAGAGAAUUUUCACUCAAAUCAAAUCUGAAAUUUUCAAUGUAAUUGUAAUGUAAUGUAGGGUGGCUGGCCAAGCCAUAUAAAUAGGCCUUUCAAAUGUUUUCCUAAUUUAAUUAGAACACUAAAACUAAAACUAAAAAAAACUCCUAAUUAUUUUAAUAUGGAAAUUCGGCCAAGGGUCUUUUAUUUGGGACUCUUGGACUGAAUAUAAAAAUUUAAACUAAGUAAAAUAAAUAAAUAAAUAAAUAAAAAUAAAACUUUACAACUUGGGCCACUUUGACAAUUUGGCCUGAUUUUCAACUAAGUAUGGAUGGAUUUCUUGAUUGGGCUGGGAAUUUGCUUAUUGGGCCUCGCCUUCAAGAAUUUGGGCUUUUGUGACUCGUAUCAUUCCCCCUUCCUCAAAAAGAUUCGUCCUCGAAUCUGAAAAAUCAAAUGAACUCGACUUUCCUCUAUCGAACGGGACUAAUGGCAAUUGAGUCCACUGAGAAGAAUAGCCAUGAGAUAGUAAAUAGCAACGGAAAUAAGCUUGUAGUCCAAUCAUAAGCAUAAUAGAACAGGUAUAACGCAUGUGAAUGGAUAGAUUCAGAUUACCAUGCAAACAAUCUAAUUUACUCACCACUGCCUCGUCAAAUAUUUGAAACAAAGAUGGACAUGUUUUAAGGCAUUCAGUCGUCUCACAUUGUUCCCACAAACCAUGAAUAAAUUGCGAGUAAUAAAUCAAAUGGUAAACAUAAUCGUCACAAGUAGGUAUUUGAAAAGAUUCACAUGGUUCACAGAGUUGCAUAAUCAUACCAUGCAUUAAUCGACGGUCUAUAGAUUCACUCACACAUGCAUUAUCAAAAACAAGAAUCUUUUUAUCAACCAUCAAAACAGAUAGAUCAUCAAUAAAUAAAAUAGGACAGUCAAGCACGUUUCGAUCUAAGUGUUCAUCAACACGAUCUUUAUCACUAUCCGAGGAGUACAAAAGUGUUUCAAAGGUUUCAAGCAUCUUACCUCGAUAAGCAGAAGAAUAAGGGUCGAUUUUACCUUUUUCAUUUAAAACAAACCUUCGCUCAUCGGGGGCAUAGUGUAGUCGAAUCUUCGUUGUUGAGUUAACGUUUGUCAAAUGGAACUCAAACUUCAUGUACAACCACAUAAACUGUUUAAGACACGAAUAUAAAUUGAAAACAAAUUUGGAAAAUUUCAUUACCUUAUUCUCCAAAACAGAUUUGGACAAAUUCGAGGAUUUUACACAAGGUAAAUCAAGAGAAUAAGAAAUCACGCUUCUUUUCGUAAUGACUUUAUCAACCACAAUCGAAGAGUAACAAUUAAUCGGAUCAAAAUGAGGGGAUCUUUUAAGAACUAAGUCACCAAAAGUUUGAUCAAUAAUUUUCAAAUCUGCACUGGACUCGGUUUCUAAAAUUUCCUUACCUCGCUUACCUUCGGGAUCAUGUAGUGUGAUUUCAUCUUUGCCUAAGUUGAUCGUAUGAAAGCGUCUUUCAUUUGAGAGGUAUUGAAGUUGAAAGUUAUCUUUCGAUCUUUCGGGAACCUGAAAAGUAGCAACACAAGAAAAAUUCAUAUCUUGGUUAGUGGAAACAUUCCUCACUAUCCUUUCCACGUCUUUUUCUUUUGUUUCUUUUUCUAAUUCAUUUUCUCUUCUUUCUUCAAUUUCUUUUUCACUCUCAAUCUCUUUUUGCUCUUUUUCAUUCUCUUUUUCUUUUUCCUCACUUGUUUUAACAGAAUUUUUCAGUUUGAUUUGGUCCUCAUGGACUUAUUCCGGAGUGAGCGGCACUAAGGUGAGUUUCUUUCCUUGAUGCUUGAAAGAAUACCUAUUGGUAUGACCAUCGUGAGUGACUUUUCGAUCCAGUUGCCAUGGUUCUCCUAGCAACAAAUGGCAGGCUUGAAUAGGCAUUACGUCGCACACAACUUCGUCUUGAUACUUACCAAUAGAAAAGGCGAUGCGCACUUGUUGAGUGACCCUAAAUUGGCCUUCGUUGCUAAGCCCUUGUAGUUGAUAAGGUUGUGGAUGCUUGGUAGUGGUUAAGCAAAGCUUUUCCACCAUCGUCGUGCUGGCUAUGUUCGAGCAACUUUCACCAUCAAUAAUAACUCUACAAAGCUUACCUUGUACGUGGCAGCGAGUAUGAAAGAGAUGUUCUCGUUGCUGCUCGCUCUUUGGUUUUGCCAAAGAUGAUUGUCCAUGAUCAUGACAAUCAUCAUCCAUUCUAGGGACACGUUCAGGGUUGCACCUAUGGGGCUGGUUAUCCCUAUCUUCCUUAAUUGGAUCUCGAUAUUGAUGUUUUUGAUUCACUCGUACCUCAUUCAAAGUAGUAUUCAAUGCUUGAAGUGUAGCAUUUAUUUGUGUGAUUGCAGCAGUAUGUCUGUCUAACUGUUGUUGGACUUUCAUAAGUGCAUCAUUAUUACCACCUUUAGACAUCUUCAAAACCUGUAAAAAAUAAACACUCAAAAAUAAAAGUUAGCAAACCUCACCAUUAAUCACUCAAAAAGAAAAAUCAAAUUCUCAAUGAGGUCGAAUUCAAUCUUGUGAGUUCUUUAUCAGAGUUUAUAUCAACCAAUUAGAGAGUGUGAACCAAACUACCAAAGAAUCCUAAUUUGCACUAGGAUGCCAAAAACUGACGAGACACCAAGUGAUUCGUGUUGCACCGAGGAAGGAGUUGUGCACACGUGUAAAUCCUACUAACACAAGAAACAAGAAGGUGUUAGAUAACGUAACAGAAGCAAACAAAUGAAAACCUACAGCUAAGAAUCAAUAAAAAUUGCUGAAAACAGAAAACCCGAAAAACUGCGGAGUAACUUGACAACUUCGUUCGAGGUGUUCCUGAUCUCCAAAAAUCACGAAAUUAAAUCUCGAAUGUCCUUAAAUAUUUAAUUUUUGAUCUGGAAAUUUUGGGCACCAAAUUCAACCCGCUGAAUCUUUUUUAAAUUUUUAUUGAAUUUCGUCUUUUUUGAUUUUUUUGACUUUUUUGACUGAUUUUUUUGCGGGAAUAAUUUUUUAUAUUCAAUCACAGUGCCAAAAACAUGUAUGUAAAAUUUCAGAUCAAUAGGACAACGUUUACCCACUCAAAUGAAUUUUUUUUGAACAAUUUUUCUGGGUAAAACUGUUGUUUAUGCUUUAAAAAAUAGAGAUCAGUUUAGAAAUCAACCAAGAACACCCAAAAUACCCAAAAUCUGAUACCAAAUGAUACGGGGUUGCGCGCGGACCAAGAUCGAGUUGCCAAGUCACGAGAAACUCCUACGAAAACCCUAAACAAUCAGAUCUGAAACGAAACAGAAAAUUAAAAGAUUAGAUUUUUGAAUUUUCAAAUCUGAAAUAAAAUCCCCAAAUCAGCAAAGAAUCAAAUUGAGAAUAGAAAUAAGUGUUAGGGUUAUUGAAACCCUCAAGGAGAUUGUGAUUCUGCCCAAUUGAACACCAAGAUAGUUUUCCCCAAAUUUCGACAAUCUAAUUUCACCCAAAAAGAGUAUGGAAAAACCCUAGAAAUUGGGGAUUUUUGGGCUGAUUCCUUAAGAUAGAAAAAGGCUGAAAACGCAAUAAGAACAAAAAAUAGAUUAGAUAAUGAUUCAGCACAAGUAGAAAUAAAGAAAGAAUUGACAGUAAGAAAUUAAAAGAUAAGUCCUAAGAAGCCUUGAAAUCCCGAAAGAUCUCACAACUCCCUUCAAACGGCUCUAAUCUCCCCUCCAAAGAAUAUCAAUGGCAAGAAGAAGGUUGAAGAUGGCUCCCACAAUCAAAAAGAUUGUUAAAACAACUUCUAAAGAAAACUCAAGAGAAAAUCCUUGAAGAACUCAAAGAGAAUUUUCACUCAAAUCAAAUCUGAAAUUUUCAAUGUAAUUGUAAUGUAAUGUAGGGUGGCUGGCCAAGCCAUAUAAAUAGGCCUUUCAAAUGUUUUCCUAAUUUAAUUAGAACACUAAAACUAAAACUAAAAAAAACUCCUAAUUAUUUUAAUAUGGAAAUUCGGCCAAGGGUCUUUUAUUUGGGACUCUUGGACUGAAUAUAAAAAUUUAAACUAAGUAAAAUAAAUAAAUAAAUAAAUAAAAAUAAAACUUUACAACUUGGGCCACUUUGACAAUUUGGCCUGAUUUUCAACUAAGUAUGGAUGGAUUUCUUGAUUGGGCUGGGAAUUUGCUUAUUGGGCCUCGCCUUCAAGAAUUUGGGCUUUUGUGACUCGUAUCAGUAUCUUAUAAUAAUUAUGAGUGUGGCGUGACGGUUGCUCACUUUAUUUUUUAAUCAUGUAGCCAGGGGUUCGAGCUCCACUCCUAGAAAUGGAACACCUUCCAACAAUGAAUACCUUAAUUUUGACAAUUAAACAACAUUUAAGAUAGAAUCUUAUCAUUUAUUAGUAGAAUAUAUAUACUAACAGCCAUGCAGCAUUUCAUUUAUGAGUUCAAAUAAAAUCAAGUUUCAACUGCUUCUAGUACUACUAACAAUGAGGCUCGAGAUUGCUCUUAUUCCAUUUCUGAAAUAGUGGCUAGAUCUCUGUUAACCGGCUUCCUAGGUGUGGUGGCACCCAUCGUCUUCGGUGUAUCUGUCGAUGCAAAAGGAUUUGGUGGCAUUGUAAGAACGUCAAGCUCUCCCUCUAACAUCUGAACCACCACUUUCAUCGAAGGACGAUCAACGGGAUACCACUGAAUGCACCAAAGUCCAACGAUCAUGAGUUUCUUUGCUAUCCCUGUUUGUGCAUCAUCUUCAAUUCGAAUCCCGAACUCCUCUCCUUUAUCCAAACGAUCAUAUGCCCAUUCUGGGAAAUAAACUUGGCUUGUAUUCUCGACCGUAACAUCUAUGUUCUUUCUCCCCCCAACCAUUUCAAGCAACAGCAUUCCAAAACUAUAAACAUCAGACUUAUAUGACACAUUUCCGAAGUUCCGAGACAGUACCUCGGGUGCAAUAUAGCCCAUGGUACCUCUAGCUGUUGUCAUUGAAAUAGCACUUUGUUCCUUGGAACACAAUUUAGCAAGGCCGAAAUCAGAGAUCUUAGGAUUGAAGUUGUGAUCAAGCAAAAUAUUGUGAGGUUUGAUGUCGAAAUGGAGGAUACGUUGCUCGCAACCUUGAUGCAGGUACUCGAUGCCUUUGGCUACACCGACAGCAAUAUCCUGAAGUUUUUCCCAACUAAGGGAUCGAUCCUUGCCCUUGGCUGCAAAUAUGAACUUCUCUAAUGACUCGUUUGGUAGGUAUUCAUAAACGAGAGCUCGGUCAUAUCCAUCGGCACAAAAGCCAACCAGGCGAGUCACAUUCACAUGGUGGAUUCUGCCCAUCGAACCCACCUCGUUGAUGAACUCUUCACCAUUUCCCUUGAAAUUAUUGAGUACCUUGACAGCAACUAAAACAUCACUGGAAAGUCUGCCUUUGAAGACAGUUCCAUAGCCUCCUUGUCCCAGUUUGUCCUUGAAAUGAUUAGUUAUCCUUUUAAUAUCAGCAUAGGAGUAUCUUGAGGGUUUAAACCCUUUAUAAUCUUCCAAAAACUUUUCAAUCUUGACUUGACUUUCUUUCUCUUUUUUGUCUAACUGAUAUCUCCACCCAACUGCAAUGGCAAUGGUUGCAGCAAUUGAAGAACCCAACACAAUACCUGCAAAUCAGCAUACAUCCCUCUGUUAUAUCUCGUCUUAAAUUUUUGAAGUUAAAAGGGAAAUUCCAUUUACCUACAAUCAUUAGCCUUUCUCCCAAACCUGCCAAGCAUUUAAAAUUAUUCAGCUUUGAUACAUGGGAAAUCUAAGAAAAGGGCUCACUGUAAGUUUACAACAUUAAGCUUCACGUUGAUGCAGGCUAAUGAAUUUUUUAACGUACGUUGUACAAUUAUAAUAGUUAAAACAUACCUAUAUGGUGCUUGGGGAUAUCAAAACACUCGGUUUGUUCCUUGGUGCUAUUAUUGUUGUUCAAUCUACAUCCCCUUCCUUGAGCUUCGCAAUCACCACAGUCUGGUUUAUACCAACGUAACUGAAAACGGAUACCAUAAGGAGAAAUGGGUGUUGAGAAGUUGCGAAAGUAGCUGCAAUUCAACAGGUUGAGUCCAUAAUAAUUUUCAUCAGAAGCAAAAGUUAUAAUUUGGGAGCCAGGGGUGCUUAAGCAAGCGACUCUAUAUCUUUUAUACAAAGCCUUCUCUUGGCUUAAACAUUCGAACAAGGUAUAGUUAGAUUCAGCUGGUUGGGAUCUAUAAUCUUUUAGGCCGCUGAAACCUGGUUGUUCCUCCGCGAAUGGAAAGGCAGAUAAAUUGAGAUCUAAAAGCUGCUGCCAGAGGCAACGGCCGGGAACGUAGAAGUCAAUCCGUUGAGCUUCAUAAUCUAUGUGCUUCACCAAUAGCUUCAGCGAACGUGGUAUCUUCAGCAGGGUCUGUUUGUUUUCUGAGCAGGAAAGCUGAAACCCAGGAUAAGGAUAGCUGCAGUGGAGAGACUGCUGGCCUUCUAAACGGAAGGGGAAACGGACAGGUGGAUCCUGGUGGUUGUGUUGGAACACUGGCAGCAACAAAUCAAACAAAUGAAAACACCAAGAGCAUAAGCUCACGAACAGCAAGCAGAAACAGAAUAGAAAACUCAAAAGCAAAAAAUGUAAAAUGAAUGGAAUACUACUUCUUUUCAUUUCAUUUGAAAAUAUAAGAGUUACAAAAUUAGAAUGUCAGUUACCUAAACUUGUAACUGCUCCCACCUAUUUUGGCAAGUUGCCAACUAAAGUAAUACAAAGAAAGCUGAAAAAAUUUUAGCCAUUACAUCCAUCAAUUCAAAUCUUAACAACUCUAAAAGUCUAGUUAUAUUUAGUUUGGAUGGCAUUACAAAAUGAACAAAAGUAAACCAAAUAAUUUAGCUACUUCUGGUCCUGCUUGAAUGCUGGUCUGCUGCAGCUGCUGGUCUUCAUCAUGGCCUUCUGUUGCAUUGCAGUCCAUGCUCAACACUCCUCCUUGGACUGUAGGCAACAAACACCAACCAAAUCUCUAAGAAUUUCAAACCUCAUAGCACCAAGAGGCUUUGUUAAAAUGUCAGCCAAUUGAUCUUGUGAACUACAAUAUGCAAGAUUCACAUCCUUUGAUUGUACUGCCUCUCGAACAAAAUAAAAUUUGAGCUUAAAGUGCUUUGUUUUGCCAUGAAAAACAGCAUUCUUGGAGAUAGCUAUUGCUGAUUGAUUAUCAACCAUAAUCUCAGUAGGCUCAAAUUGUUCCUCAUUCAAAUCACACAACAAUUUUCUAAGCCAAAUAGCUUGGCUUACUGCUCCAGCUGCUGCUAUGUACUCUGCCUCAGCAGUUGAUUGAGCAACUAUUUGCUGUUUUCUAGAGCUCCAACAGAAAGCUCCUGAACCAAGAGAAAAGAGGUAGCCUGAGGUACUCCUCAUAUCAUCAAUCGAACCUCCCCAGUCACUGUCUGAGUAACCAGAUAACUUCAGCUGACCUCCUGUCUUGAACAUCACUCCAAACUUCAAGGAUCCUUUCACAUACCUGAGGAUUCUCUUUGCAGCUUUUAAAUGUGAUGUGUUGCAGCUAUGCAUAAAACGAGAUAGCAAACUGACCGAAUGCAUAAGGUCAGGUCUAGUUGCUGUCAAGUAUAGCAAACAUCCAAUUAGACUUCUAUACUCUCUUUCAUCCACCUUUUCUUCAUCUCCAUAGCUGCUCAACUUCUGUCCCAUGACUAAAGGUGUACCCACUGGCUUGCAAUUUUCCAUAUGGAACUUAGUGAGAAUUUUCAAGGCAAAUGCAUGCUGGCUGAUAAAAAUGCCUUGAUCAGACUGGUCUACUUCCAUACCAAGGAAGUAAGUCAUGAUUCCCAAGUCUGUCAUGUCAAACAUGUUUUGCAUAUUCUUCUUGAACUCCUGAAUCAAAUCGACCCUGCUUCCAGUCACUAAUAGAUCAUCCACAUAUAUUGAGACAAUCAGCAAAGUCUCAUUUUUAGACUUCUUUAUAAACAAAGUUGGCUCACUCAAACUUUUCUCGAAAUUGAGCCUAAACAGGUAAGCAUCUAUCCUGUCAUACCAGGCUCGAGGAGCCUGUUUUAGUCCAUAGAGUGCCUUCUUCAGCUUGUAAACCUUGUCCUCCUUUCCUUGGACUUUAAAUCCAUCAGGCUGUUCAACAUAAAUUUCCACUUUAAGAAAGCCAUUCAGGAAAGCUGACUUGACAUCAAGCUGAUGGACCUUCCACUGUUUCUGUGCAGCGAAAGCAAAUAGAAGCUUUAUGGUAUCCAGCCUUGCCACUGGAGCAAAUGUCUCCUCAAAAUCAAUGCCAAACUGUUGAUUGUACCCUUUCACCACAAGCCUUGCCUUGUGCUUGUUCAGAGAGCCAUCUGCAUUGAAUUUGGUCCUAAAAACCCACUUGACACCUAUGACUUUCUUCUGAUCAGGUCUGUCUACCAGAUCCCAAGUAUCAUUCUUAUGGAUCAUGUCGAUUUCAGCCUCCAUAGCCUUCUUCCAGCUCUUGCUUCUAGCAGCUUCUUCAUAGCUUGAAGGCUCAACAAUGGCCACAUUGCACCUUUGGUAGAUAUCAGCAAUAGACCUGGUCCCUCUCACAGGAGCAUCAUCUACAUUGGCAUUACUGACUUCAUUUUCUGCCAAUUCCAAAUUGCUGCCAAUCUGCUCUUCUUCAAACUGACUUGUGUUAGAGUCAUCUAGACUCCAAAACCUUCCUUCAUCGAAUUUGACAUCCCUGCUUACCAAAAUCUUCUUGGUUGAAGGAUCAAAUACUCUGUAGCCCUUCUUGCAGCUACUGUAACCAACAAAUAUACCAGGAACUGACCUCUUCUCGAGCUUGGUUCUUCUUUCUACAGGGACAAGUACAAAACACUUGCAACCAAACACUUUUAAAUGGGAAACAGUUGGUUUAAGAUCAUACCAUACUUCAAAAGGAGUUUUAUCAUUCACAGCAUGUGUUGGCAGCCUAUUGAGCAGGUAUACUGAGGUGUUGACACCUUCAGCCCAAAAAAUGCUUGGAAGCUUGCUUUGAAACAACAUGCACCUGGUCAUGUUCAUCACUGUUCUGUUCUUCCUCUCACACACUCCAUUUUGCUGAGGAGUGUACACUGUGGUUAACUGAUGAUGAAUCCCAGCCUGCUCACAUAGCUUCUGAAAUCUUUCAGACAAGUAUUCAGAACCAUUGUCUGUCCUCAAGGCCUUAAUCCUGCAGCCUGUUUGAUUUUCUGCCAAUGCCUUGAACUUUCUAAAAACUUCAAACACUUCUGACUUCUGUUUCAUGAAAUAAACCCAGCAAAAUCUGGUUAGAUCAUCAAUAAACAGUAUAAAAUACUUACUGCCAUUCAGUGAAGGGGUCUUCAUUGGUCCACAGACAUCUGAGUGCACCAACUCAAGUCUUUCUCGAGCCCUCCAUGCUUGGUUAGCUGAAAAGGGCAACCUGGCUUGUUUGCCAAGCUGACACACCUCACAAACGCCUUCACUUGCACUAAACUUCACCAUGUCUUCUGUCAUGUUCAUUUUGUGCAGCAAAUCAAGUGAUUUGAGGCUAACAUGGCCAAACCUCUUGUGCCAAAGAUCAGUAUUGUCAACUGAGCUUGUAUAUGCACUUUUCUCAAGCUGACUCACUUCCAGCAUAAAACAUUUGUCUCCCAUAGGUGCUGAGACAAUCUCCCUACCAUGAGCAUCACUUAUAACACAAGAAUCAUUCUUGAAAACUAGUGAAAAGCCUUUCUUGACUAGCUGGCCUACACUGAGUAAAUUUUGGUCUAUUUCUGGCACAUAGAGCACAUCAGAAAUGAUUUUGUUACCUGAACCAGUGUGAAUGACCACAUCACCUCUACCUUUUGCUUCAAUCAAGUUGCCAUUGCCUAUCCUGACCUUCGAGACAUAGCUCCUGUCAAGAUUCUUGAAAAGGCUCUCAUCUGCAGCCAUGUGGUGUGAGCAGCCACUAUCCACAAGCCAACUGCUCAUGCUUUUAGCUGCAUAACAUGAAGCUGUAAAUACAUGCUCCUCCUGAGCUUGGACAUCCUCGGCAGACUUGGCUUGUACUGGUUGUGCUUGUGCCUUCUCAUGACUUCUACAGAUUUUCUCAUGAUGACCAUACUUCUUACAGCUUCUACACUGUAUAUCUGGUCUGGUCCAGCAAAAUUUUUCCAGGUGAUUGGUCUUCUUGCAGUGAAUGCAUAGUGGAAACCUCCUUCUACCGGCAUCUUUCUUUGAUUUUUCCUUCUUUUCAAACCAAGGCUUCUUAGCUUUCUGGCUUGAGCUGGAGCCUUCUCUGACCUUUGCUUGAAAAGCACCUUCAAGACUCUCCUCCUGCCUACUUGCUCUUCUCUGUUCAAGUGCAUAGAGUGAGUUAACCAACUCAGACAAAGAAAUGGUUGUGAGAUCUCUCGAGUCCUCCAAUGAGGAGAUUUUUGACUCAAACCUUUCAGGUAAGGUGGUAAUAACCUUCUCAACAACCCUACUAUCACUGAAAUCUUCUCCAAGGAGUCUAAUAUUAUUGACUGUAGCCAUAAUCCUAUCAGAAUAUUGCUUGAUAGUUUCUGACUCCUUCAUCUUUAAAUUUUCAAACUCCCUUCUAAGGUUGAUGACUUGUUGCUGCCUGGUCUUGUCUGAUCCCAUAAAUUCCUCUUUUAGCCUGUCCCAUGCCUGCUUGGGAGAGUUACAGGCCAUGAUACGAGUGAAAAUAACAUCUGAUAUUCCAUUCUGCAAACAGGCCAUAGCUUUGUGUUUCUUGGCUCGUUCCUCACCAUGUUGUCUGAUCUGAGCAAUGGUAGGAUUUGCUCUUAAUGGUGCUGGCUCGACAUCACUCUCAACUGCACUCCAGAGGUCAAGUGCUUGAAGAUAUGUCUUCAUUUUGACAACCCAAAUGUGGUAGUUGUCUCCAGCAAAAACUGGUGGUGGAGGAGGAGCAAAACUCAUGCUGCCAAGACUGACUUUGAAAACACAAAAAACUGACUUUGAAAAAAGACUAAAACAUAAACAACAGAGGUCCUCAAAGAUAGGAGGCUCUGAUUACCAUUUGUUGGAACACUGGCAGCAACAAAUCAAACAAAUGAAAACACCAAGAGCAUAAGCUCACGAACAGCAAGCAGAAACAGAACAGAAAACUCAAAAGCAAAAAAUGUAAAAUGAAUGGAAUACUACUUCUUUUCAUUUCAUUUGAAAAUAUAAGAGUUACAAAAUUAGAAUGUCAGUUACCUAAACUUGUAACUGCUCCCACCUAUUUUGGCAAGUUGCCAACUAAAGUAAUACAAAGAAAGCUGAAAAAAUUUUAGCCAUUACAUCCAUCAAUUCAAAUCUUAACAACUCUAAAAGUCUAGUUAUAUUUAGUUUGGAUGGCAUUACAAGAUGAACAAAAGUAAACAAAAUAAUUUAGCUACUUCUGGUCCUGCUUGAAUGCUGGUCUGCUGCAGCUGCUGGUCUUCAUCAUGGCCUUCUGUUGCAUUGCAGUCCAUGCUCAACAGGUUGCACCGCCGCACCUUGCAGUCGUCUUGGAUUGGCACUGCUUCUGCAACAUUCACAGCUAAGAUAAAGCAGAAUAACGAGUAAAUUAACAUUGUUCUUACUAACUUGUGAGCCCUUGAAGUGAAACGGGCUUUAAAUAGUUUCAUUGACAUAGGUGGUUCAGCCCUUGAGAGUUCCAAUUAUGCACGCAACGCAGCUGCUGCUUUACUAUAUAGAUUUGUCUCGUUUAACAGGGUCUUCAACUCUUCGUCCUCUCUUUGUCCUCUUUUAUGAGUAAAUGUUGGACAUGUUUGAUUGUUAGCAACCCUUUCUAAUCUUGUUACUAAUUUUCUUUUAUUCCCGU
rnacentral:lncRNA from 1 species